GUGCUCUUCACUCUGCCGGGGAGUAUACGUACAGGCCGUACUCCAGAGAAUUCGGCGGUGUUGACGUCACGCUGACGGCCGGCCAAGGUGGGCGAAGCGUCGCGUCACGGCCGCGGGCCCCGUCCAGGAGGUCGUCGCACGCACGCGUGCCCGCGGAAAUUAAAGCAGCAGCGCACUCACUCACGCGCACGCGUGCUACACGUACGCACGGCAGGGGCCAUCGCACACCUGCCGCUGACUCCUCUGCGUGCGCCAAUACAUAAGGCCUUGUUUAGUUCACUCUGAAAACCAAAAAAUUUUCAAGAUUCUCCAUCACAUCGAAUCUUUCGACACAUGCAUGAAACAUUAAAUAUAGACGAAAAUAAAAAAUAAUUGCACAGUUUACCUGUAAAUCACGAGACGGAUCUUUUGAUCCUAGUUAGUCCAUAAUUAGACAAUAUUUACCACAAACAAACGAAAAUGCUACAAUAUCGAAAUCCGAAAACUUUUCGGAACUAAACAAGGCCUAAGAUGAACCCUGGCUGACACGUCCACACGAUCGAACAAAGCUGUGACAGAGCUCGUCGUAGAUUUUUAGGCUAUAUAGCUGCAAACGGUGAGUUGCUACCAGCUACUAUACUAGACAACACAAUUAUAAACAAACUAGUUAUAUCACAUGAAAAUCUCACUAGAGAACUUUUUUUUUUAAAAAAAUAUAUCCAAUUGCCGGCUUUGAUUAAUAUAAUAAGAAAGGGAGCAAAACCUCAUAUGUUACAAGCACGAGCAAAACUCCCAGCAUGGCCUAGGCUGUAGGGGGGGGGGGGGAGGGGGGGCUCCUGAUGAUCAUUGGAACUUGGCCCUUGUUUGUUAGAUGCUGCACUCGAUCUGUUUUAUUAUUAGUUUUCCUCAAUUUUUACUAGCAAUGUUCUUUAUGUAGUUACAUAGUUAAGUAAAGCAAAAGAUUGUUCUUCAUUAGCACAAAUCUUUACUGUAAAAAAAACGGAUGGUUCAAUGCAAUGAAAUUAGAAAUAAACGUGCCCCUUAUAUGCUUAAAGGCACUGUGCUAGCUCGACUGUUGUGUUUUCGACGACCACGUGUUUUAUCUAAGAGCUUAUUUGAACGCACUCAUAUUCAUUUAAUCCUUGUGUUUCAAAGUGGAUUGAGGUAGGUAUUGGUUGAUUUUUCAGGCCUUGUUUAGUUUCCAAAAAAAUUUGUAAAAAAGUUCAGAUUCCACGUCACAUCGAAUCUUAUGGCGCAUGCUUGAAGCAUUAAAUAUAGAUAAAAAAUAAUAGUUAAUUGCAUAGUUUAUGUAAUAUGCGAGAUGAAUUUUUUGAGCCUAGUUAGUCGAUUAAACAAUAUUUGUUAAAUACAAACGAAAGUGUUAUAGUGUCCAUUUUAUAAAAUUUUUUGAAACUAAACAAGACCUCACUCUAAUUCACUUUAAUACAUAUGGAUUAAGGUGAAUACGAGUGCAGCUACAUGAGGUCAUCUAGUUGAGUCGUUGUUGGUGUUAACAUCAUAUUACUCUAGCUAGCUAGGGCAUGCAGUGUUGAUUGUUAGUAGAAGCCAAGGCCUUGUUUACUUGGGAAUUUUUUUGCAAAAUUGCUACAGUAACUCUUUUGUUUGUAUGUGACAAAUAUUAUCAAACAUAGACUAACUAGGCUCAAAAGAUUUGUCUCGUAACUUUCGACCAAACUGUACAAUUAGUUUUUAUUUUCAUCUAUAUUUAAUACUCCAUGCAUGUGUCUAAAGAUUCGAUGUGACGGAAAAUCUUGAAAAAUUUUGCGUUUUGGGUUGGAAGUAAACAAGGCCCAAGCAUGUUUGGCAUCAAAACGUGCAGUCCUCAUCUGUAGGUCCAUCAGUGUUGACACGGUGCAGUGCAAUCAUAUCUAGUACUAGCUAGAGUGUUAGGCCAUGUUUAGUUCACCCCGAAAUCCAAAAAGUUGUCAAGAUUCUCUGUCACAUCGAAUCUUGCGGCACAUGCAUGAAGCAUUAAAUAUAGACGAAAACAAAAACUAAUCAUACAAUUUGACUGUAAAUCACGAGACGAAUCUUUUGACUCUAGUUAGUCUAUGAUUGGACAAUAUUUACCACAAACAAACGAAAGUGCUACAGUUGCGAAAACUUUUCAGUUUUCGGAACUAAACAAGGCCUUAGCAGGGCUGUGACUUGGCUGGUCAUUAUUGUCCCGUGGACUAUCAACAUUGGUCAGCACGCGUAUCCAACUUUUGGAUUCAUCACCUUUUGCUUCCGCUUCUUCUGUGUUUCAUUUCAUCAUGACACCUCUGCUCAGCUCGAUGGAUUGAAAUCGGAUGGAAGAAACGUUGACUUUGCUGAUUCCUUUUUGGACUCUACUAGUAGUGCUAUCAAUCCCGUGGGAGUAGUAGUGAAGUCAACGCUUGGUGAGAAGUCAACUUCUCGAAGUUUCUUGUAGUAAGAGCAUGGCACGUGGAGGGUAAGGAAAUCAGUCGUUUGCAGUCGUCUUCAGAUAUUUUUCUUGUUCGUCAAAUGUGACGGCAAAAGGAAGGAAUCCCAAUUGCAAUCUUCUCUAGAUCCAUUUUUUCUUUUGUUCCUUGCAUGUGGAGGCACGGAUGGGGAGAGGUCUCUAGUUAAAACUAGUGGCAGGUGCGCGCCUUCGCGCGCAUAUAUGGCCGUGUCGACGAAAGCUAGUCGGCAGUCUACCUUGGGGUAUACCCACGGUAGUAGUUUAUCGGUAGACGGUGCGCAAACUACGAACUCGAUGGUGACGCAAGACACGGACAAGCUUUUUAUCCAGGUUCGGCCGCCGAGUUGGCGUAAUACCUACGUCCUGCGUCUGGUUGUAUUGAUUUGUGUUGAGAGAAUAUCUUGUCCUAGGGGGGUCCCUUGCCCCUCCUUAUAUAGUCUGGAGGGCAGGGUUACAGAUCUAGAAACUAAUCCUAGUCGGUUACAAUUGCCAUGGAUAAUUCGAUAUCAAUUCCUAUUCUAACCGACUAGAGUCCUGCUUGAUCUCCACAUCUUGUUUCCUUGCGCAGAACUCCAAGCUGUCGAAUCAAGCCUUGAACUCGUCUCGUAAUGGGCCAAACCUCCUGGCCCAAGUCUAGCCGCAAGGGUAUAGGGGUUUAUACCCCCACAGCUAGUCCCCGAGCGCCAUGUAUUGUGAUGCAACACGCCAUCUUGAGCUUCUUCGAUCAGCGAGGCUUGUCGUCUUCAAUAAGCGGGAAAAUCGCCCAAACAGUUGCAACGGUUCCUUGACCAACUCGAAAGACAGUUGAUCAACAUUGACAUCGAAGAAGCAGGUUGUUCGAAGAAUGCAUGGUGCUCUAAAAAAAUUUCUUUCCUGGUGAAGUGUGCCCACUUUACCUUUUUGAAAGGUAGAAGCAUCAAAAAAGCAAGCAAAUUCACCGCUAGGUGAAGUGUGCCCACUUAGUCCCCGAGCCUGGUAGUAGGUGGCGUAGACACGUGGUGCCAGGGUCAAAAGAAAAUUCCCCAAAGUAGUUUUGAGUCUGAGAUGCAUCGCUAGAUGCAUCGUACCGAUGUAGUCCCCCGAGCUUGCUAGAAGGCGAAGUAUGAACCUUGUAGCAAGGUCUAAAAAAUUGAAUUUACCAGUCCCCGAGCAUAUCAUGCUCGUCUGCAAUUGAAAAGACCAAUCGACCAGUCCCCAAGCACUUAGUGUGCUUCUUGGAAUUAUACUGUACGACCAGUCCCCGAGCGUCGAGUUCUCAGUGGUCGGUGCAUGCUUUAAAACUUUGAGCUGAUAGACUGAGCGACCAGUCCCCGAGCGUCGAGUGCUCGGUGGUCGGUGCAGUCCUUGAAGGUCUGAGCUGAUAGACUGGGCGACCAGUCCACGAGCGUCGAGUGCUCGGUGGUCGGUGCAGUUCUUGAAGUUCCGAGCUGAUAGACCGGGCGACCAGUCACCGAGCGUCGAGUGCUCGGUGGUCGGUGCAGUUCUAAAAGUUCCGAGCUGAUAGACUGGGCGACCAGUCCCCGAGCGUCGAGUGCUCGGUGGUCGAUGCAGUCCUUGAAGUUCCGAGCUGAUAGACUGGGCGACCAGUCCCCGAGCGUCGAGUCCUCGGUGGUCGGUGCAGUCCCCGGAGUUCCGAGCUGAUAGACUGGGCGACCAGUCCCCGAGCGUCGAGUCCUCGGUGGUCGGUGCAGUCCCCGGAUUGCUGACUCACUGGCAUAUGUGUCUUCUUACUUUUGAAAAGAUCUUUCCAAUUAAAGUUGACGUGACGGGGUCUCCUGACGAUAUGUCAGACGGAUGCAUGAAAAGUUGCACCUGGCAACUGUACAACCGCUCUUUGCAUGGUUUGAGAAAAGGAAACCAUUAAUUGGUACGAAAACUCCGCCACAUUAAUUGUCUAUAAUCAUUGUAAACCGAAACGCCGCGUCCGCCGCAUGGCCUGCCCACUUCCCGAGAAUACAGGAAGUGGGAGAGGUGGGGUCGCAGGUUUGUAAGGGCCUAAUAGGUCUGCCUGUACUGCUUCGCCUGCCAUUGCCUUCAAACCUUCCGCUCUCAUCUUCUCCAAUCUCCUGCAUCUUCCUAACUCCAGCCCACAUUCGCACCUCUAAUGGCGAAGAGCGACUCCAGGAAGAGGGCCGAACUGAUGGCCAAGGAGUGGAAGAAGUCCCGCAGCACCACAAAAUCUCUUGGUGACCUCGUCGAUAUGGGGCUUCUGCACGGCGCAGAGCUCGGCGGCUGGAGGGCACCGGAGGGGGAGAGCUACCCCGACCCUCGCGCCGGUGAGAUCGUCGUUUUUGAAGAUUUCGUUAAGAGAGGCUUUGGUGUUCCUGUUCAUCCUUUUCUCCAAGGUCUUCUUUUGUACUAUGAGAUCGGGAUUUGCAAUCUGCACCCGAACUCAAUUCUCCUUAUUUCCACCUUCAUCCACCUGUGCGAGGCCUAUGUUGGCAUAGAGCCGCACUUUGAUCUUUUCCGGUAUCUUUUCUGCUUGAGGAAGAAGGGAGCAGUUGGAGGCUCCAAGGUUGCAGGUGGAGUAUACCUCAACCUUCGUGAUGGGAUGAAGAAUCGCUACCUGCACUGCCCAUGGAACACUUCCUUGACCGAAUGGUACAGGAAGUGGUUCUACAUCAGGGAGGAACCGGGCAGCUCCACGUUCUGUGACGUGGGAUACAUUCCCGAGAAGAGGACGAGCUGGACCGACCGACCGGAGUUCGACGGUCCAGUGGCGGAUCUCAUGAAGCUGAUCGACUGGUCGCGCCUGGACGGGCUUGGCAUGGUCGGCAACUUCAUUUGCCGCCGGGUGAUGCCCUGCCAGAAGAGGGUACACUCGGCGUACGAGUAUGCCGGAAGCGCAGCGCAGACCCGACCAGGAUGCGGUCGGAGAUCUUGGACUAAGCGGAGGUACAACAGCUGUUGAACGAGCUGUUUAACUUCGCGGAUGGGGGCUUCAUCCGUGGCAGUGAUCGGGUGCAAGCCUUCAAGUUAGGACGACCAGCACCAAAGGUAUGUAGCAGAUUCGAGUUUGAUUAUUCGUAUAUCGUCUGCAGUUGACUCAUUUCUGUUGCUUUUGCAGGUCGGUGAUGUCGACCGGUGCGCAGUGUAUGUAUCACUGGCACCGGGGAUGGAAAAUCCGGUGGGAGAGGUCCCGCCAGAGGAGGACGCUGCUCGGUGUACUCAUUACACCAGUAGUGAGGAAGACCGAGCCCGCCCCGUCCCGACCUCCGAGGAGAGGGUAGCAGGGAAAAGGCCAUUGCCGGCAGAUCCCUUGUCGACACCGGAGCUGCCGGCAGAUCUCCCGGCGGAGAGCAGCCAAGCACCGAAGCGUCGUCGGCUCGUGCGGAUCGUCGAUGACGACGACGACGAGGAGGCAGCGCCGUCGUUGGUCCGACGGCCUCGGAGCCGCCCAGACACUGCGCCGGUCGCCACUGAUCGAGUGGCCAGCGGCGCCGCUGCCCCGCAAGUUGCCGAGACGGGGGCACAGGUGCCGACCGGCCGGGCGAGGAGGAGGUUCACCGCGACCCACCGUCGGUCAGACCUGUAAGUGUUCGACUUACGUAUUUUGGACUCAUCUUUUUUUUUGUUUUUUUUUUAACUUUUGUUCCUGUAGUGCGGCAUCGGAUGUCGACCCUGGCCAAACUGCCAGCCAGGGAACAGGCGAGCCUGCCCGCGGUUCUGGGGAUGCGGCCCCCCAGACCACAGAGCAGCCCACAGCUGCGGUCGCGCCUGGGAGCACCGAGGGACUCCCAAGCGCGGCGCCGACUACAACAAGCAGCCCGACCAGGGCUGGAGAAGCUCCCCCAACUGACUCCUCGGAGAAGGGAAGAUCUCCGACCGCUCCUCCUGCCGGGGGGAGUGAAGUCCCCCCGCCGCCCCGAGCAGGAGCCUCUUCGGCUGCGGGCUCCCCCGGUCUGGUCCAAGGGCCAGUAAUGCCUGGGACCACCACCGGGGGUGACACAGCACAGGAGGAGGAGACCCGGGCGGCCUCCGAUGACGAGGUGGAAGAGAUCGAGGGUCGUCCCCGUGAUGGCCGCCAACACGUGUAUGUGUGGCGCCAACGCGGGGACCACUUUAUCGGUCAUGAGGAGCUCGCCGAGACCGAAGAGGCCGCCAGGGUGGAGCGCGCGGCCAAGCGCCUUGUCGACGAAGUCAAGGUAAGCGGCUCUUUGUAGUGCUGCGCAUUCUUUUGCCUUGUCUUGCAUGGUCGUUAUAUGCUUGCUUUGUAGGACGUAAUGAAAACGGCGAAGUACCGGAAACGGUGCUUUGACCAGAUAGAAGGCGUCAUGGCCGAGAACAAGGCCCUUGCCGCGGAGGUAGACCGGUUGCGCGCGGAGGUCGGGGAGAAGGUGGUCGAGAUGAGUGCCGAAAAGGAGCGUCGUCUCGACCUCGCUCGUCGUCUGGCCGACCAGUACCGGCUGCAGGAAGGUUAGUCACACGCUCCGAGCAGCUUCGCGUACUUGUAUAGUUUGGUUUGCUGACCAGUUUAGGAUUCACGCAGACUUGGAGGAGGAGGUGGCGAGCCUCCAACAAGAGAAGGAGCAGCUCAGCCAACAGCUCGCCGGUGCGCUGGAGUCCGGGCGGCGAGCAGAAGAGGAAUUGGGUCGAAAAGGCCGGGAGCUAUCUGGUAAUGAGUGCCACCUUGUUGGUUGCUGCCUGCCCCUUUAUUUGUCUGGUAUGCCGAAAGUAACGUUUCGCUUUGUUUGCAGUGCUCAAGGUGAACACCAAAAAGCACCUGGAUGAGCUGAUCAAGGACCGGGACUCCUGGAAGGUCAACUGUUGCAGGAUCUGGAAAGGAGUGUCCCCGGUCCUAGACCUGAUCAGUCCUGAGCUCCCGGAGAGCCAGCCCCGCGCGCCGCAGUUGACCCCGGUCGAGAAGGCGCAACGGGCGUGGGACUGGCUCCAGCAGUUUGUGAAGGACGCCGGGGAGUUUGCCGGCGCGCACGUCCUCAGUAUGGUGCGCGCCCACUACCCCCUGGUCGACUUGAGCAGGCUGGAGAAGGGGUAUCCGAAGGAAGUCGGCCCACAGGAAGCGGACGAACUUCGGGGUAAUCUGCUGGACUUGUCGUCGACAGUGAUCGGCGACAUCAAUCUGUGCGGAACGGCCACUCCUCCAGACCAGCCGAGCUCAGAUAGGUCGGCCAGGGAGUUGUCGGGCGCGUCCGUUGCGGGAGAUGGGCGGUCGACGCCUGCGGUCUCGACCAGCCAGGCGCCGGUGGCCCCGACCCCUUCGUCCGGGCAGCAGGGCCAGGCGGGUGAUCAGCCCGAGCAGCCAGGCCAAUAAAGUAGUCUGUAGGAAUAGACUAGUGUUUGCCCGUCAGGGUAUUUAUUGUAAACUUUGUAUGUAUAAAGUUUGUAAUAAAGUUUGCUUUUUGUCAUGACUGUUGUUUUGAGCGCUGUAAGAAUAUCUGAGUGACGUGUCACCGUAUUUGUCUUGGUUGUCGCUAAGAGCGUCCGUUGCAGGAGUGUUGCCGAGUGCUGCGUGUGACAAGGUAUGGGCCAAAAAUAGAGAAUUUAAUUAUCAAAAAUUAUGAGAUACUUACAGAAGAAAAUCAUUAAAACUUUAUGGAUAGAAACGUCGCAGUUUAUCGAUGUGCCAAGAGUUAGGCACUCGUGUUCCGUCUGGAUAUGCCAAUCUGUAGGACGUAGGUCGUGUGACCUCGGUCACCACGAAGGGUCCUUCCCAGGGAGUGGAUAGCUUGUGCAUUCCCUCCUGGCUUGUCUUCCAUCGAAGCACCAGAUCGCCGACCACGAAAGAACGGUCCUUGACAUUCCUGUUGUAGUAUCGCCUGACUGCUGCGAGAUAUUUUGCUGUUCGGAGACACGACACUAAACGCUUUUCCUCCAUGCAAUUGAUUUCGAGUCCUCUGGCGUUGUCGGCGGUCGCCUGGUCGAAGUGCUCGAUUCUAGGAGAUUCGAAGUGUAUGUCGGACGGCAAGACCGCCUCUGCACCGUACACCAUGUAGUAGGGAGACACCCCUGUGUUUCGACUGGUCUGAGUUCGGAGGCCCCAGACCACAGCCGGCAAUUCUUUCAUCCAUCGACCGGGUGCUCUGUCGUUUUCGGUGUACAGCCUUUUCUUUAGGGCGUCAACGAUCAUUCCGUUAGCACGUUCAACUUGACCGUUGGCACGUGGAUGUGCCACUGACACAUAUUUUAUGAUUAUGCCUCUGUCAUCGCAGAAAUCCCAAAAAGUGGUGCCAGUAAACUGAGUGCCCAGGUCGGUGAUUAUGCUGUUCGGAAUGCCGAAUCUGUGUAUGAUUUGAUUGAGGAACUCCACAGCCUUCUCGGAGGUUGCCUUGACCAGGGGCAUGUAUUCAAUCCACUUGGAGAACUUGUCGAUUAACACGAAGACAAACUUGAAAUUGCCCGGGGCUGGUUUAAAUGGUCCGAUCAUGUCGAGCCCCCAGCAAGCAAAGGGCCAAGACGACGGGAUGGUUUGAAUUUCAUGGGCAGGUACGUGGGUCCUCUUAGCGAAAAACUGACAUCCUUCGCAAUGCCGAACCAGUUUUUCUGCGUCGCUGACCGCGGUUGGCCAAUAAAAACCUGCUCGGAAAGCCUUUUCGACCAGCGUUCUAGAUGCGGCGUGGUUGCCGCAGGAUCCGGCGUGUAUGUCUUCCAAGAGCUUGAUACCAUCAUCUUGGGGUAUGCACUUGAGCAGUACUUCGGAGCUUGCGUUUUUCCGCAUGAGUUUUCCGUCGACCAGGAUGUAGUUCUUUGAUCGUCGGAUGAGACGCUCGUUCUCUGUUUUGUCCUGAAAGCCAGUCCCGUCUGAUAUGUAUUUGAUGAACGGGGUACGCCAGUCACGCCCACCGUUUGUCGGAGUGGCGUCAUCUAUGAGCAUUGCCUCGGUGGGUUGUUUGUCGACCAGGGGGGAGCCUACGCUCGGCUCAUGGAUGUCCUGGACGAAAAUACCCCGCGGGAUUUGGGCCCGAGAUGAGCCUAACUUUGACAACGCAUCUGCUGCUUGGUUCUUAUCCCGGACCACAUGGAUGUACUCUAUGCCAUAGAAGUUAGUUUCCCAUUUGCGAAUUUCUUUGCAGUAGAGAUCCAUCUUCUCGUGGGUUGCGUCCCACUCCUUGUUGAGCUGGUUGAUGACCAAAGCGGAGUCGCCGUAGACAUAGAGGCGCUUGACCCCCAGUUCAACGGCUAGUCGUACGCCAUGUAAGCAUGCUUCGUAUUCGGCGACAUUGUUUGACGCCGGAAAAAGGAUCCGAAGGACGUAGCGGAGUUUGUCCUUGUUUGGUGAUACGAACAAUAUCCCAGCGCCUGCACCGUUGAUGUUCAAGGACCCAUCAAAGAACAUUGACCAGUGGUCUGAGACAUCUGGAACGGAAGGCUCGUUGAGAUCCGUCCAUUCAGCAAUGAAGUCGACCAGGGCUUGAGACUUGACAGUGGUGCGACUCUGGAACUCUAGGGAAAAUGGACAUAAUUCCAUUGCCCAUUUCACGAUUCUGCCAUUGGCGUCUUUAUUGCGCAGGAUGUCCCCGAGAGGAAAGCUGGUUGUCACCAGGACUCGAUGGCCGUCGAAGUAGUGCUUCAGCUUUCUUGACGUUAUCAGGAUGGCGUAUAUAAGCUUCUGUAUUUGUGGGUACCUGGCCUUGGAUUCGUUUAAAACUUCACUUAUGAAGUAAACGGGUCUCUGGACCUUGAAGACGUGACCUGGUUCAUCUCGCUCGACCACUAUUGCCGUGGAGACAACCCUGUCGGUUGCAGCAAUGUAAAGGAGUAGGUCUUCAUUAGGCUGAGGCGCUGUGAGGACAGGCGGUGAAGUGAGGAAGGUCUUAAGCUGAGUGAACGCAGCGUCGGCUUCUUCUGUCCAAGAGAAUUUUUCUGACGCUUUCAGUAGUUUGAAGAAAGGGAGGCCUUUUUCUCCCAGCCUUGAGAUGAAACGACUGAGGGCGGCCAUGCAUCCGGUUAGCUUCUGAAUAUCCUUGACGUUCUUCGGUGGUCGCAUGUCGAGUACGGCUUUGACUUUUAAAGGGUUUGGUCGUAUGCCGUCGCAACUGACGACGUUGCCGAGCAGCAGACCGGAAGGAACGCCGAAAAUGCAUUUCUUGGGGUUGAGCUUCCACUUGUACCUAUUGAGUGCCUUGAAGGUUCGGUCUAAGUUGUCGAUUAGGGUGCUCACGUCCCUUGUUUUUACGACCACGUCGUCCACAUAGGCUUCGACGAGGUCAUCGCGAAUCUCGUCGUGGAGGCAUUGCUGGAUGGCCCUUUGAUAAGUGGCCCCGGCAUUUUUAAGUCCGAAAGACAUGGUAGUGUAGCAGUAUGCGCCGAAGGGUGUGAUGAAGGAUGUUUUGAUCUGAUCUUCUUCCUUUAACGAGAUCUGGUGAUAACCAGAGUAGCAAUCUAGAAAGGAGAGGAGUUCGCAUCCGGCCGUUGAGUCGACCACCUCGUCGAUGCGAGGAAGACCAAAAGGAUCUUUAGGACAGUGUUUGUUGAUAUCGGUGUAAUCAACGCACAUUCUCCAUUCAUUAUUCUUUUUGCGUACAAGGACCGGAUUGGCGAGCCAAUCGGGAUGAUACACUUCUUUUAUGAAUCCGGCUGCUAGAAGCCGUGUUAUUUCUGUCCUAAUAGCCUCCUUUUUGUCACGAGCGAACCGUCGCAGUUUUUGCUUGAUUGGUCUUGCGGUCUUCGAGACGUUUAAGGAGUGCUCGAUCAGGUUUCGUGGGACACCGGGCAUGUCUGCGGGUUUCCAUGCAAAAACGCUCACGUUGUCCCUUAGAAACCUGACGAGCGCGUCUUCCUAUUUUGGAUCCAGGUUAGCCCCGAUGAGGGCUGUCUUCUCGGGGUUGCCUUCGACCAGCUGCACUUCUUUGUACUCCUUGGAUUUCGAAUUCUUUCUGGCUGUCUCCUGCUCAGGUAAUCGGAGCUGGUCGGGGGGCAGCUGUGCGGCUUGGUUUGCUGUUUCCGCCAUGCGGAUUGAGAGGUCAAUUGCCUCGGUGAUCUUGAAGCUUUCUUCUUCGCAGGUGUACGCAGUGUAGACGUUGCCUCUGAUGGUUAGGACACCCUUCUCCGUGGGCAUCUUAAGCACUAGGUAUGAGUAGUGCGGGACUGCCAUGAACUUUGUCAGCGAUGGGCGGCCCAGUAUGGCGUGGUAGGUCCCGUCGAAGUCCGCGACUACGAAGUUGAUGAACUCCGUGCGGAAGUGAUCGGGUGUGCCGAAUUGGACAGGCAAUGUUAUCUGUCCGAGGGGCACCGAACUUUGACCUGGCAAAACACCCCAGAAUUGGGCGUCGUAAGGUUUUAGUUGCGCCGGUGAUAUCUUGAGGGCGGGCAGGCUGUUGCGGAAGAGGAUGUCGAUGGAGCUUCCCCCGUCCACGAGCACGCGCUCGAAUCUGAUGCUAUUGAUGCAGGGAUCAAGAAUCAGUGGGAAACGACCCGGCUCUGGGAUAGCGGCCCACUGGUCCUUCCUGCUGAACGAGAUCUCCCUGUGGGACCACGCGGGAAAUUUCGGAUCUGCGAUCAGCCCGUCCGUGCUGUCUAUGUUGAGGCAGGCUCUCUUUAACAGCUUUCUUUCUCGCUUGGACUCAGUGGAGACCUUGCCCCCGAAAAUGGAGUGCACCACGUCGGUGGGGCUGACGUAUUGGUGUCGGGGGUCCCUGUCUUGGUCCUCAUCCUCAUCUUCGUGGUCGUGCCCGUCGCGCUUGUUAUUUUUCUUGGCGGUGUCCUCUUGGGCGGCCCGCCGUGUAUAGAUACUUUUGAGGACGCGGCACUCCUCCAUGGUAUGGUUAGACUUUGGGUGUAGCUGGCACGGUCCCUUCAACGUUUUGUUGUAGUCGUCUUGGUAGUCCCGUCGUCCAUUGGGACGUUUGACCGUAUUUACUUCGUGGUCGUAUUCGCGAGGGCGCUUUCCUCUGAAGUCGUCGCGGCUGUCGCGCCGCCGAUCCCAACCCUCUCGGUGAUCGCGGUUGUCAGAGCGGCGGUGAUUUCUGUUGUCGUAGCGACCACGACCAUCAUCUCGCCGGGAGGGCUGGUCGUUGCCUCUCGCAUCGUCUCGGAUUAGUUUUUCUGCGUCAUCAGCAUCGGCGUAAUUUUUGGCCGUGGCGAGGAGCUCUGCUACCGUUGAUGGACGCUUACGCAACAGCUUGUUCCUCAGCGCUUCAUGGAAACGCAAGCCCUUGAUAAAGGCUGAUAUGGCCUCGUCAUGAGAAAUCUUCGGGAUUUUGAGGCGCAUAUCCGAGAAUCGUCGGAUGUAAUCGCGCAGAGGUUCAUUCUUCCUGUCUCUUAUCCUUUCAAGGUCAUACUUGUUUCCGGGCUGCUCGCAUGUGGCGAUGAAGUUGUCGAUGAAAGCCUGUCGUAGCUCUUCCCAAGAAUCAAAGGAGUCCUCGGGCAAGCCGAGAAGCCACUGAUGACCAGCCUGGUCGAGGACUACGGGGAAGUAGUUAGCCAUGACGUGCUCAUCUCCUGCCGCUGAUCGGACGGCGAUUUCGUAGAGAGUGAUCCAGUUCUCUGGAUUUUCCUUGCCGUCGUAUUUUUUAAGUUUUUCGAGUUUGAAAUUGCGGGGCCACACGACCUGGCGGAGGUGUGAGGAGAACUGCCUUAGGCCCGGAGGACCGUGAGUUGCAUCGUACUCGAUGCGGCGCAGGUUUUCGUGGACUGCCCUCUCCGCGGCGCGCCUGUUGAUGCGGUCCCGGGCAUCUUUGGGAGGGAUGUUGUGGCGGAGAUCCCUGUGUUGAUUUUCUUCUUGGCCGCGUGCGCGGUUCUGCUGGCGGCGGCCAUCGGCGUCCCGACCACCAUCGUCGCGCCGUGAGUCCCCUCGAUGGUUGUCGGGGGAGCGGCUGCGGUGACGCCUGCCGGGUGAGGCCCGGCUACGAUUAGUCUGGUCGGAGGCGGCUUCCGUAUAAGAAACGUCCUGGACUCUCUUGAGCAGAGUGGCUGUCUGUCCCAUUGCGGCGAUCAGGUGUGCUCGGAUGCUGGUCCGGACUCCCUGGCAUUCGGGGGUGUCAGGAAGCCGAUCCAGGUUGGCCAUGGCGACAGCCACGUUGGCGCUUGGCGUUUUGUAGACCGGCUGGUCCCCGACCAUGUCAAAGGCAUCGUUGAGGUUACUUGGUGGCAUCUGUUGUUGCUCGUCCGCACGCCGUCGGGCGCGAUCGGCGUUACGCUGUUCGCGGAGUUGCCUCUGGUCGUCUGUUUCUCCGUCAACAGCCGGUUCGUCGGCGCUGACAUUGAACACAAUAUCCCCUCGCCGGGGGGGGAAUAUCGGGAAUCGGUUGAAACCCGGAGGGUGUGAAGGAAAAUCCAGGUCGUAGCCCUCGUCUUCGGUGUUUAUAACCUCGGUGGGGACGGAGCCGGUGCUUGAGUUGGUGCUGGAAACCUGGCCGUCCCGUAGCUCUCGGAUGGUCACCAUGUUGACAUGGUGACGAUUGUUCCUUGUCGGCGACCAGCCCGCUUUGCUGAAAACGGAUUGGACAUGCUGUGAGUAAACAGAGGCCGAGUUGUUCAGGCCGCGAGGAUAGUCUUCCUUUUUGAGCUCGACGGAUCGUCCUGAGGGGGUUGAGGUUAUCGUCAGGGACGUUCCCAGCCGUUCGUGUGUGGCGACACGAGUUGGCCGGCGGAAUUUCGAAAAAUCCGCUCGAGCAGCUUGGUCGGGCCGGCGCAGAACUCCAUCUAUUAGUUGGGAGACUUCGAGUAGCUUGGAGUCAGCGCGAUCGAGCGCUUGGAGGAGGUCCGAGCAGUCGAUCUCCUUUCCCUUGUAGAGCGGGAACGGUGGUCGGGAGCUUGGUGCCGUCGUGCGUGUGGUCGGAGACGGCGUGAUCUCAGAUUGGAUCUGGAUCUCUUUCGGAACCGUGGUCGCGAAGCCGCCGCUGCACGUCGUCCACGUGAUUUGGCCGACGGUGAACGUGAGGCCUUCGGGCACGGUCGCGGAAGCUGGGAUCGUGACCAUCUUGUUCGCCGGAAAAGUUGCACGCACACCCCCUACCUGGCGCGCCACUGUCGACGAAAGCUAGUCGGCAGUCUACCUUGGGGUAUACCCACGGUAGUAGUUUAUCGGUAGACGGUGCGCAAACUACGAACUCGAUGGUGACGCAAGACACGGACAAGCUUUUUAUCCAGGUUCGGCCGCCGAGUUGGCGUAAUACCUACGUCCUGCGUCUGGUUGUAUUGAUUUGUGUUGAGAGAAUAUCUUGUCCUAGGGGGGUCCCUUGCCCCUCCUUAUAUAGUCUGGAGGGCAGGGUUACAGAUCUAGAAACUAAUCCUAGUCGGUUACAAUUGCCAUGGAUAAUUCGAUAUCAAUUCCUAUUCUAACCGACUAGAGUCCUGCUUGAUCUCCACAUCUUGUUUCCUUGCGCAGAACUCCAAGCUGUCGAAUCAAGCCUUGAACUCGUCUCGUAAUGGGCCAAACCUCCUGGCCCAAGUCUAGCCGUAAGGGUAUAGGGGUUUAUACCCCCACAGGCCGCCAAUUUCAAUGUACUGAACUGUGUACUGGAGAUUUCAUAGUAAUUUGUUUAGAUUUAGCAGCACACAUAUUAUACAUAGGGUAAUUAUACAUAGUAUGGUCGAUGCCUAGGAUUAUAUGUUUUUUUGGUCUCUAGGUGUACAGUGAAAGACCUGAUACAAUAAAGUAGGACAUAGAGUAGGGAUACUGAAGGUCUAUAGUUUAGUGACUCCGAACAGGGUCGAAAGGCGGUGAUCAUGUAGAUUAUUAUGGUAGUGGUUAUUAUACAAGGUUGUUGAUGCUUUCAUUGCCAGUUCCUAUGUAGAGUAGUCGGCGAACUGUGUUGUUGCAGUUUUGUUUUCAGUCGUCGUCGCUGUCGUUUGAGGUGCUCAUCGAUGAAGCUUGCGAGGUGACUGCAUGGAUGUGUUGUAUACAUCAGAUGUCAAGAACGUUUUUUGCAAAGUAGAUUGUAUAAGAUAGUUGAGUAAUUGGUGCGGAAAUUGGUUUUCGUGUGAUUUAUGACGGCAAUAGAUGAAACUAUAUCAGGUACUUGAAAAUAAGUGUUGUAUUAUGAAAUUAUAAGCGGGAAGAGUGUGUUUUGAUGUACCUUGGAGCCGAGAGGUUUCUUCGUCUGUGUCACUGGUGCCAAUUAGUUCCAUCCGUUGUUCUGUAUCAAGGUCCGAGUAUCCUGUGAAUUUGAGACAGAAGAGAUAUUAGCAUCUGGUCACGAUGGUUUGGAGCGGUGUAUUUGUAACAAAGGUUAUUACCGCGGAGUUCAGAUCGACGUUCUCCUGGUGGUGUCUGUCUGCCUAGCAUUUCAUCUGUGAAUGUCUGGUAACAUAGGCGCCAAAUGCUGAUGAUGUCGUUCUGUCCAGUUAAGUUUCUGAUGCCUAAAUGAGCAGUUUGUGGGACCAUUGUCAGGCGUCCGCGGGCACUAAGGUCAUAUUCGGCUGUACCAGAUAAGAAUGUGAUCCCAUGGAUGAUGCAAAUUCUAUUGAAGAGCCUGUAUAUCAGCGAGUUGCAGCAUAGAUGUGGUGGUACGCCGCGGAUCUGGAUGGUCAGGUGUUCAUAUGGUUCUGUCAAGGGUGGGCUUUUAGCUAAGUGUACGUUGAGAGGACAGGAGGUUAGCACGGUUUGUAAAGGAACUGCUGUUGAUCCAUGUUCUGGGUUCCAAGGCAUGAGGGCGAUCAUGUAGUUCUGAACAAUUAUAAUGCCUUUGCGCAACAUGUUUAUCUUCGCAUCUGCUGUAUGUACGUGUAGGAAAUAACCUUGGCCAUAGCUGGAUAUGUCCUGUACCUGAAUAUUGACUUGGAAUUGUUGGUGGACCGCUUCGGCAAGGUCGUAAUGGUUGAAUGCGUCUGAGAGAGUAUCUGGGAUCUUUGCGAAGACAGCGUUGACAUAGGCGCUGGUGUUGAUAUCCUGAAGUCAGCUUUAUCGAUGAUUAUGAGGUUUUCGAAUCUGUGAUUCGCCAUCUGCUGGAAAUUGUAGAUGUGUGAGUGUUUUUGGUAAAUUAACAAUGAAAUGAUGUAUUUGUGUAUGUAGUACGGUCUUCGAGUCUAUGGUAAUGUAGGUAUAUUUAAUUUAGAGUAUGUGGCGCUGCAAAAAUUAUAUGAGGCCAUUAAAUUGAUGUACUGUGUUGCUAUUAUUUGUUUAUGAAGUGAUGAGAGUAAAAAUAAGGCUCUUAAACAGUGUGCAUGGUGGACGUCCAUUUUUUUUGUAGAAGAAAUAGCAAUAUACAAGCAGGAUGAACAUAAACUUGUUUUAUAUGACUAUGGUUCAUAAUAGGGUCUUGUACAUGUACUGAGGAUAAAAUAUGUGUACCUUCGUAACAAACAUUCAGAAAGAGUAUUGACUAAAUUUGUGGUAUUACCUAAUCAAAACAAAAAUGAGUGGAAAUUUUGGGCAUAACUUAAGGCGAGUUGUGGAGGGCUAGGAACAAUAAUGAUGAUCAGGUAGUUUACUUACAUUAGGCCGAAGUAAAUUUUCUCCGUAGCUGUUGGUGGUGUUGUGGAUCUAGCUUCUUCAGGUUAAUGGGGCGCAGGCCAUGGUCCAGAGGGUGUGGAUGGUGGAGCUGUUAUUGGAGGGAGACGGGAGGGGAGGGGAGAAGAGGGGAGGCACAAGUAGGUUAUGCAAUCUUGGGCGGAGGAAUCCGAAGCUGGGGAGACCAAAGGAGGAAGGCGAACAGUGUUGAGGCCAUGGAUAAGGUUCUCUGGAUUGCUGAGGCGAGAGGAAAGAUGUAGGAGGUAGGUAUUAGUAGUAAAGUGGAUAAGGGAGGGAGGUAGUUGAUAGUAAUAAAGUGGAAGGUGGGCAGCACGAUGGGGUUUUUUUGGCUCAUCUAUUUAUUAUUUGGCUGUUAGAAAAUUGUACAAAAUUCUGUAUAUUUGGCAGUGAAAUCUUUUGAACUUUAACUAACUUUAUUCCCAAAAGUAGCAACAUGUAUGACAUAAAUUGUGAAUCUUGUAGAGGUAUAAUUUCUGAUAAAUUUGUAAUGGUAUUGGUUUGUUUAAAAAAAUUUGUUAUUUUUUUUGUACAAAUUUUGUAAAACUUUUAAAUGUUUCUCUCUCGUUCAUUCGUUAUUUAGUUUGUAAAAAAAUGUAUAAAAUUUGCUUUGUCUGGCAUUGAAAUUUGUAUAGGCUUAAUUAGCUUUAUACCAAAAAGUGGCAAUAUUUGUGGCAUAAAAUAUGAACGCUACUAAAAGAUAUUUUAUGAGAAAUGUAAUGUUAUUAGUUUGAUAUAAUGAGUUGUAGGAUUUUUUUUACAAAUUUGGUACAAUAUAGUUUAGUUUUUCUUGUUUUGGCGUUUAUUUGGUUUUUUAAGGCUGUUAUCCGUAAUAUUUUUUUUUGCCACUGAAUUUGACCAAUGAAGUAGAUGGUAUGAGGACGAAUGUGUUGCAGUAUUGUUUAUGUGAGUUUAUACAUAGUUCUCCCAGUAUGUUAAACAAUUUUUUAGAUUAAUUUUUUACAACGGCGAAACAUAGCGGUACAUUUGGUAUAUAUUUUUAAAAACGAGCGGUGCCGCUGCUUUUGCAGUGGAAUAAACCUAUAAGAUGAAUCAAAACUGUUAUAUAAACAUAUUUAUUGAAGUCUGGAUAGAUUAUAUUACACAUGAUGUGAGUAAUAUUAGUUGGUUCUUACAAGCACAAGGAUCGUACUUAUAAGGCUGUGCUAUAUAUUACAAACUUUGUACAAACACUGCAUUGCGUAGGCUAACGGAACAGCUAGGGUGAAUCCUGUGGCACGAGGAUUUGCUAAAUGUGUUCCUAUGUCGAGGGCUAUUAAACAGAUAUGAAAUAUGAGUGCAUGAUGUCGGCAUAUGUCCUUAUUAGGCUGACGAAGUCUUCAUUCCUUAUGCUAGAGCUCCUGUAGUAGGGUAUUGACUGUUAAUCAUGGUUGUACGAAAAUUGUUGGUACAGCUGUUGUCAUGGGUGUUGACUACGUACAUAAGUCAGUAGUAGAUCCAAAAUUUGAAAGUUACCUGGUAUGUCAGCUCGAAGCCAUCGACUGGGGAUAGCAUUCGGUGAUUCCAUAUCCAAAUGUGUGCAAAGAAACCGAAUCUGUAUAUAGAAAAAAUUGUGUAUUAUGUUUUAAUAAUUUGUUAAAUAUAGGUGUUAUUAAUGUGUUUUUUUUGGGUUACCUUUGAGUCUGUGAAGUCAUCGGCUGAACUUAUAAUACUAUUGUAAUAAGCUGUCAUGACAUUAUCAAGCUUAGUUACAGCAUCAUGUAAGUGCAUGAUGUUGUUUAUUCCGUCGGAUGCCAAACUGUAUUCGUUGUGUAAAUGGCCGAAACUUUCAUAUAUUGGAACUAUGUCUUCUCUGACAUAUGACACACAACAUUGUAGUAGGCUCAUGUAUACGCUGAGGUUGUUGAUGUCAUUAACCAGUCUUUUUAGGAUUGGGUAGUUGAGGUCGACUAUUUGAUAUCCCAGAACAUUUGUGAUUUGCUUUAGGGUGUAACAGAUAGCAAGUGUUUCAAUGGAUGCUGGAGUUUUGUGAGGAAGUUCAUUAUACUUGUAUGUCAAGUUUUGUGUACGCACGAAUGCUUCAAACUGACCUGUCGAUGUUUCGAUGGUUGUAAUGGCACUCUGUGCUUUAUAUGCUGCUUUUGUAGUCGCAGUAUAUAUGACUUUUAGCCGGGUAACAUAUGAUGGUGGGACUGGUAUCUGCAUGGUUUAUGUUACUGUUAGUUGAAGCAGUUGAUAUACUUGAUUUAUAUGAGUAAUAUUGUAUGAGUAGUAUAUAUUUUGUUGUGUAAAAAAAUCAUACCUCAUGCAGCGGUGGAAUCUUAUUGAAACCAGUUAGGUUCAUAGGUUCUUCUGGUUGUGCCUUGACUAAGUUGAUGUGGCCAUCUAUAAUGCUGUAAUUUCUAUAGGCGUGGUUUGCAGCAUUACUUAGAUGCUCAGCAAAGUGACAGAUAUAUAUAUAUGUACCAUCCAGGCUAUUAUUUGCAGCAACUUGAAUAAUGGUGCGGAUGGCGGUAGCUUGGUUGAGGAACUGCUGUAGGAACUCUUGUAGCAUUUGUUGUAACUGAAUAGUUUUAUAUCUGCAUAUCUUCAAGAUUUUGAACUUUUGGUAGUAGAAGUCUCGGAGUUCUGAAAUUAGCAAGUAGCUGUAGUCUGGUGACUUCAGUUCGUAGGCUGUGUCUAUCAUGCUAGCAUAAUUAUCCUUGAGAGCCUGGUUUCCUAAAAUGGAUAUCAUAGUUAGAUCCAUAAUUUGUAGUGCCUGUUCAUAAGCAAAGAGGUAGUACAUUAUUUACCUGGGUGUGUUCUCAACGCUGAUGGUACAGGAAGUAUUGUGAGUGGAUCAAUAUUGAUUUUUAGAUCAUCUGCUUGAUUCGAUAUGCGCCAAAGAUAGAUAAAGGUGAGACAUUUUGUAAGCAAAACUUAAAAAACAUGGUGAUAGUAUAGUAUUUCAUUGCAACUGUACCUGUUAUCCAAGGUAGCUGAGUUAAUUCGUACUGUUUUGACCAUGGCACGAUUUUGAGGCGGAAGUUUCUUGUUUGUAGAGGCGAUGCGCUCACUGUUUGUCGCUGUAGGUGAGAAUUUUGCAAAUAGAUGAUAAAAUUUGGUGGCCUAUAUGUUAUAUCAGAGGUAGUCAUGUAAAAGCCCAACUGGUUUCUUAUUGUCUCUACAAUUUCUUUGGAGACCUGUCUUGGUUCUUCCCUGUAUGUAUUUGUUGGUCUUGCGAUGAUGGCAUACUGCCAGUAUGUUUCUGAAACAUGAGCUGUGAAAUUAUUUUUCCUCUAUUUUAACUAAAGAUUGUAAGAAAAAAAUGUAAUGGAAAGUGCAACUAAAAAGUAAUAACUAACAAGAGUGAUAAUAUGUACCUUCAUUGAUUCCUGGUAUUUCCAUCAUGGUUUUCACUGUGCGGGUAAUUGAUCUGCAGUGUUAUGUAAAAUAAUGUCAAUAUUAAGUAUGUGAUUAGUAUGAAGAUAUUAGUGUCAAAUUUUUAUAGGAAUAGGUUUUAUUUUGUUUACUAAGAUGUUAAUAUGACAUGUGUAUUUAGUUAAUAAACAGUUAGUUCUAAUUGAUAUGUGACUAAUAUUUGGUAGGAAAACUGGUGUGGCCGAUAGGUCGAUAUCUGAAAUUGAUGUGAUAGAUAUAUGGGGGCAGUGAUUACAAUUUGGUGUUGAUUAUAACUUAGGAAAAGCUAAUAGAAUAAUUGCAAUAAUCAGUGGAUGAAGACAGAUUGAGAAAAAGAGAGAGAAAAACCUAGGGUUCCAUGGAUGAGGGAGCUUGCCGAUACGCUGUCUGAGUUGAAGGCCGCUGCACUGGGGAGCAGUCGUAGGGUGAGAUAGCCGUGGUGCGGUCGUCGUCCGCCGCUGCCGAUUCUUGCGUACCUAUCGACGGCGCUAACACAAGGAUAUGGUGGGGUGGAAGAAAUAGGGUUGUCUAGGUUUUGAUGGAGCUCGGUGACGCGAUACUUAGUUGGGACGAAGCGUUGCUGGGAAGAAGUCGGGUGCCGAUUCGGUGCCCCUGUAGUUUGGAGUAGCAGCCCGUCGGCUCGUGGUGAUCGGAAGUACUGAGUGUAUAUGUACAGGAGCAGUAAACUGGGCUGAAACUGUGGUGCUUUGUGGGCUUGGUUUGCCUUUUUUUUUGCCUUUUUUGGUGGCUUCACUAUGUUGGGCCUAACGGUGCAGCCCGAUCGUUUUUUACGUUUGUGACCUGUGUUUUGGAUUUAUUUUCUUAUAGUUAAGGUCCAUUGCUGGCCUUAUCCUUUUUCCUCUUUCUGGGUGUUUGCCCUGGGUUAGGCUUAAUGCUAUAACCCGAUUGUUUUUUAUGUCUGUGAGGUGUGUCCCUAAUUUGUUUUGUUAUAGUCAAUAUCUAUUACUCAAGGGUCGAAGCCAACAGAAUUAUGAUAAUAAGGGCGUUGAGUUGCUGACAUGACCGAUAGCACGAACAUAUUCAGUAUCAUGUAGAAGACAUCAGUUUCAUGUACAAGACAUCAGUAAGAGUGGCGCAGGUAGUUUUUGUAGACGGGUAAAUAGUUAACAAAAUACUACCAUUAUACUCGCUUUUAUGUAGAAGGCAUUGGUAACAGGAGUGUAGGCAGUUUUUGUAGAUGAGUAGAUAGUUAACCAGGUCGACACUGGUGACAGGUAAUUAACUACAUAGUAGCAAUAUUUGUUGAGAUACCAGCAUUUUGAGCAACCAAUAUAGAAGGAACAUGGUAAAAACCACUCGCUUUUAUGUAGAAGACAUUGGUAGCAGGAGUGCAAGUAGUUUUUGUAGAUGAGUAAAUAGUUAACCAGAUAAACACUGGUGACAGGUAAAUAACUACAUAGUAGCAACAUUUGUUGAGAUACCAGCAUUCUGAGGAACCAAUAUACAAGGAACGUGGUAAAAACUAAAAUAAAACUGCUAGGUGGGAAUAGCUGAGCCUAGGUAGAGUCCUGUGUUGUAAAUAUAAAGCAACACGCUCUUAAAGACCAUAGGCAUCAUGUUGCACAAAAGGUUGUUGUCGACUGAUCGUGAAUACGUAUCACCUGAAAUGUAUAAGGGUCUUAGGCAAAGUUUUGGUAAAUAUAUAAAGUUUUCAUAUAAGUGCAAAAGUUGAGGACAUGGCGUGUAUAAAAAAAAUGUUGCUACAAAUAUUUAUCUUACUAAUAAUAAAUGUUAAAAGCAUAGUUGAAGAAUGCAAUGUUCACCUGUCCUGAUUUCUUCAUUUAGACCUGAUCAGAAGACGCCUGCUGCUUCAGGGGCUUAUUUCUGGACCUGCUAGUGCAUACAUUUGUCAGUUGUUAAAUUUGUGUGCUAUUAUUAGAUUGCUUUCUUGGCUUUUUAUGGUCUUUUGUUCCAGAUUCCUACCUUUUUGUUUUUGGUGCAGGUGGUGGAUCGGUUAGACCAACAAGGUUGUCUUCAGACACUGUUUCUUCAUCCAAGUUUUCAUCACCUCUAGUCUCCUGAGUCAAUGGAAGGGCGAUGUAAACAAUCAGAGAUAAUGUAUAGUUUUUAGAGGCAUAUGUUAAGAAGGGUAACAAUUUUGUCAGUUGUUUGGAAGUACAGUCUGUAUACAGUUAAAGCAAAACAUAAAUUUGAGUACGGGUUUUACAAACACAAAUUAGGAUCUGGUAACAGUGUUACCUUUUCAGGUUGCUUAUGUUCUCCAAAUAGCCUUUUCCGGGUAUUUGUUGGAGGCACCGUUGAUCUGGUAGAUAUUAAAAAGAGGAUGUAAGUGGUACAUGGAUACAAAGAUUAUUAGUUGUUCUAUAUAAUUAUAUCUUACUCAUUGGUAUGAUCUUUAGUAGGUGUUUUGUCUUGAUCAAUGACUGGGGCAGGCGUCUGUAAACAAAAGCGUGAAAAUGAGUGUGCUAGGUAUAUAGUCGUAUAGAAAUUGAUAAAUAGAGAGGGGAAAAUGUAUAUGUUUAACAUACUAAUUGGCUAUCCUGAGCAAUCUCAAAAACUUGUUGGUGAGCCUUUGGAGUGUUCGUUAUUUGUGGUGGAGUGCGUUCAUGUGUAGAGGUAGUGCACAUAACUGUAGUACACUGUGUGGUGGUUGCAGAUCCAGCAAGGUACAGUGGAGAAUGACGCUUAUCUGAUCUUUCCAAGAUAUGCUUCACCAGGUAUUGUCUUUUUGAUCUACUGCUGAAUGAGUCCUCCGUGAGGUUAAUGGACAAGGUGAAUUUCUUGGAAAUAAUGGACUGUAGUGGCUGCGGCAACCCAGACGCCAAUUUCAAAGGGUUUAAAAUUAGAUCACAAUCUUUGAGAACCAUUAACUUAGCCACCUCAUCGUAUGCAAAGAAACUUGCUUCUGCUGUUUCGUCCCUUGCAAAGAAGUUUAGUAAAUACCUGUGUAUUUGUAAGGCAAAAGUUUGUGAACCUCAUGGUUGUCAAAAUUCUGGAAUAUAACAAGAGGGUGUUUUGUAACACCUAUGUAGUUGUUUCUUACCUAGGCAAAGCAUUUGUGCCAUAACAUUUUGGACACCUAUAUCCACCAGCAGCCUGUGGAUCCAUUCUUUUCUUACACGGUUUGCAUGUCAUGUACCACCAACUAAUAUUGUCUGGAAUAUUUGUGAUUGUCACUAUGCAUUUGUAACCUUCAUCCUGAAACAUGUUAAACAAAGCUGUAAGAAACCCCAGGGUAUGAGACCAAAAGAAAGCUUAAUGAAUGGGUCAUGUAAAUCAUACCGGAAAUUCGUAUGGGUCUAUACUAUCUAAUUCAGCAAUCGUUUUCAGUGCUAGUGGAGUGUCCUCUGGCUGUGCACGAAGGUUGUCUUCAGAUGGAGGUGGUCGCUCUAUGUACAUCGUUUCACCCCUGAAUCUAUUUAGUUGUGACCAAAUAUAUAAUGUAAGGAUUAAUCUUUUUUAUGAUGCUACUAUUGUUAAGCAUACGAUUAGAAAUUGGAAUUGUUCCAUGUACUGCUUACCUAUUAUAAAAUGGUAAAGCCUCCUGAAUGUCUGGAUUUAGAUAGUAGUCACAGCCACUGCUUCCACUAAGGUACGGUUUAUUCUGUGCGUAAUGUGAGUGCCAUUUUCUUGGUAUGAAACCAACAAAGAGAGCUAUAACUGGUUUGGGAUCUUCUGCAGUGUUCAGAUGAUCGACAUUGAAGUUUAUGGCAUGGUCACCCCAAAGCGUUAUUUUGAGCUCAUCGUCGCUGCACAAAGAAAGUAUAUAACUACUGUGAAAUCACAUUUACAAUACAUAGGGAACAUAAUCUGGUGUAUAUCUGAAGAUUUGUUACUUGUCUUUUUUAUUUUUUCAUACCUCAUAUCCUUUAUGAACACUUCUCUAAGGAUGCUUGCUCUUUCUUUUCCUUUUGGGGUUAUAGUUGUUGCAGAAGUGUAUUUUGUAAUAUAACCCAGGACAUCUGAGAACAAGAUGGAAACCAUAGAAUAAGAAUCAGCUGCUAUACACUGAUAAAGAACCAUGAGGGCAACAUGCAGGAGCUCACCUGUCAAGAUAGGAACCGCUCCUUGUGCAGGCACAAUUUUGUCAAAAGGGGUUAGAGCGUAUACAUAUUUUGGAAAUGUUUUUGGUGGAUUCUCGGCUAAUUUGAUGGAUGUAAACUCUGUGAAUUCAAUCAUCAGAUGAGCACUGAAGGGUUUGUAACAUGCCUUUGCAGGAUUUACUCUGAAUUUACUAAUCACAUAAGUGUUGUCCACCUGUAUAAGAGAAUCCAAUGUUUGGAUAAUUUCUUGGGGAAUCUCAGCAUACAUAGUAUCUCCCUGUGCAGAGAGAAAAAUGGUAUUAUUUUAAAAAUUUAUAACAUGCACAAUACUCUGUUCCCUUGUUUUCUUUUUUUACUUGUUUAACUACUAACUUUAUAUCAUGUGCUGAUAAAUGGUUCUUGGAAACACAUGUGCAACAGUAUUACUGUGUUUAAAUGGACACAAUUGUUAACAAAACGCAAUAAUAUAUGACAAAAUCUUACCCUUGCAUCUGCUAGGACCAAGCCAACGUACAGCGGCGUUCUCUGACCCAUGUUUUCUCUAACUGUCCAUUUCCUCAGAACACGAACACAAACAAAGCCUUUUGGGCGACCCUUCUCCAACUUUCCUAGGUAGCUGGUCUGCAUUCUACAGAUUAUGUAGACAUCGAAGAAGUCAGGUUUGAACCUAUAGUAUAAAAACCUAUGAGCGUUUAAAUGAUAUACAGUAAAAUAUAAACAGUAUGGCUUCUUUGUAGAACAAAAUUAUUACAAAAGAAACACACAGUAUAGAACAAAACACAGUUUACAUUUCUGUGUCCAUCAAACAUGCGAAUGCUUCUUUAUAUAUGGAACUGUACAUAUAUGGAGGCUCAAACUAUUCAGAAGCAGGCCAUAGAGUCAUGCAAGAUCAAAUACCUAUACAUUGUAACUACUAACACCAUGGCUAAUCACAUCUACGAGAAUAAUAUCAAAAGCCCAAAUAGCCAUGACGGUACUAAGAAACAGAAGAUUGUAGUGGUAACUUGCUGACUCUAAUGUGUCGUUGGCAAAUAUGCUAGGACCUCUUUGUACACAACAUUUCUUGUUUUGUUGGUGCAGCCUCCUUGUUCAUCCUCUAUUAGAAUCUUUAGUCCAUCCUUUUUUGUCACGCGUGACACAGCAACAUAGAGCUGACCAUGCGAGAAAACAGGUUUUUUAAGAUAAACGCCCACAGCUGAUAGUGUUUGCCCCUGGCUUUUAUUGAUUGUCAUUGCAUAGCAGACCUUUAUUGGGUAUUGACGUCUUUCAAGUACAAAUGGCCAUUUGUUGGUCUUCAAAGUCAGAGUAAUUCUUGGGAUGAGGACCUUUUUUCCACAGAAUUUUCCAGUUAUUAUUUUAGCUUCUAUCACCAUAUCUCCUAAAGAAACUAUGACCAAUCUAGUACCAUUGCAAAGACCAUCAGAUUGGUUAAGAUUACGAAGAAGCAUGACUGGAGUACCCUUUUUAAGUAUGAGGCGAUGCUGUGGAAAAUUAUUUCCAUUAAGUGAAUUUAAAAAUUCCAGUGGAUACAAUAGGUCAUAUGCCUCAUGGGGCCCAAUAGAUUUGGCAAUACUAUCUGAGCUAAGAUAUUCUUUUUCCAUGUCUGGCAGUAAGGAAACCAUAUAAUCAUUGAUGGCAUCAGUUUGCUCAUUUGUUGGUGUUAAUAUAGCUCUCUGACUGAGGUACGCUGUAUUUUUGUAAUCUGUUAUGAAGUUUGGGUAAGUAGCAUUAACUAUACAAGAUAACUUGUCACCUUCUGUCCUCAAAAGUAUAUCUUCAGGUAUCUCGAUCCAUGAAGGUUCAGAUUCACCUUCCCUUGCAACUGAAUCGACCUUUCCUUCCCCAAUAUCGAGCACCCAUUUACUAAACUCAGCAACUUGUCUCUGGUAAUCUACAUUUGAUGAAGAACAAGAGAGCCGCAUAUUCUGAGUUAAACUGAGAAUCUGUACCUCUGACCAAAGUCGAGAUUUAACUAUAGCAGAAUCGAUAAUCUGAGAUCUGCUUCCUGCUUCUACAACAGGGAGAAUUUGUCUCAAGUCACCACCCAGUACCACAACCUUUCCACCAAAGGGGAUAUUAGCAGCUUGUGAACAAUGCAUGGAUUGUAUAUCACGAAGACUUCGAUCGAGAGCCUCAAAAGCUCUUUUAUCGGUCAUCAGAGCCUCAUCCCAAAUAAUCAAAGAUGUUUCUUCAAUCAAUUCAGAAAGCAUUGUUCCUCUUCUAAUGUCACACACUGAGGUGUCAUCUAGGUCACAUGGAAUCUUAAAUCUAGAGUGUGCCGUGCGGCCUCCUGGUAAAAGCAGCGACGCGACUCCCAAAGACGCAACAGUUAGGACAAUUCUCUGCUGUGCUCUUAGGUAAAUAACGAUACGAUUCCACAGAUAGGUCUUACCAGUUCCUCCAUACCCAGAAACAAAAAAAAAUCUUGGUUCAUUCUUCAUGACCCUGUCCACUAUGGUGGUAAAUGCAUGUGUUUGAUCAGUGUUGAGAGUAACAGUAGGGUUAUCCAUGUCCACUAAAGGAUCAGGAGCAUAUGAAAGUUCCUCAUCAAUCAACCGGUUGUAUGAUGCAGAGUAUGAAUCUCCUGUUUUCUCAGGUAGGUUAAAUUCCCUUAUGUUUCUCCCAUUCUGCACAAAUAUGGAAGCCAGUUCUUCUAGAAGAUAGUCUCUUGCAUUAGCUUCAGGCAUUUGAUAGUUAGGAUCACCAAUAAUAUCUCUAAAUUGGUAUUGGAUAUCAUCAGCCAACAGUUGCCAUACUUUCUCAAAGAAAGCAUUUUCAUCCCCAACCUGGCAGAAGACUAUCAUGGUAACAAAGAGCUUACGUAGUUGGGCUGAGGUAGCCCAACCCGCAGCUUCAUCAAAAGCAUCAUACCACUCUCGGUCAUCCCCAAGAAGACCACGGGAUCUACAUGCUUCUUUAAAAGUUGAAUGAUGUAUAUGGUUAUGAAAUCUAAGGUCUUGGUAGCUAACAGCACCUUUGACAAUGAGCAACAACAUUCUUAAAUAAUACCGUUCCCCUCCAGAAGGAUGAACAUAAUGUAAACGACCAAUUUUUCCUUGCUGACGGUGACGCCUUUCCCAAACUCGAUUUUUGUGUUCCCAUUUCCACCUUGAAGGAAACUGUGAGUAUGUAAGGACCCGAGCAUCAGGGUUCAACUGAUUGCAUGUGAACCAUUCUGUUAGCAUAGUUUUCCUUAAAAAUUCCUCGGAAACAACUCUAUCCAUUCUAGCUCUAGCACUAAAUGUAAUGAAAUUUUCAUUAGGUAGAUGUACAGGCAUUCUUUCAACAGCCGGAUGGUGUCUAUGAAUAUCAUAACCCAAUAUUCGCCAACAGGCAUCUUGCUCACAAAUGUAGUGACAAUCAAGAUAUUCCCUAACUUCAUUAAUUGUGUUUGUAUCUGUAUCAUAAGGGGCGGACUCUGCUCUUCUUACUCUUUCAAGAUAAACCUUACUACAAUCAGCACCCUUUGUCACAUACUUGAAUAAAUAUUUGAUGAAAGUGCUUUUGUUGCACCAUUCAACAUUAAUAUGAGCCUGGUAUUUCUUAAGAAGACUCAUAUUGUAUGGAACAACCCAUCUAUUGUCCAUAUGCAGACCUCCUUUUUCAAUAUAAAGACUACUCUCACGGCGUCUGUACAUGGCAAAUCCGUCAGAAUUUACUGAAGUCUCUUGAUGAUAUAGUUUUGGAAAAUGUUUGGAACAUCUCCCAGCCUUCAUGCAAGGGCAAACUGGAUUGUGUGACCCACAAGGCCCAUGAAUCAUGUGCUCAGCAACAAGAGCAUAACCAAGUGGGUCAUCUCUUGGAUCAGGUAUCUCAGCAGUAACAUAUGAGUCAAUCAUUGUAGGAGUUGGAUCUGAUGUGUCAGCUGUAGUCCAUAAAAUAAUAUGCGCAUGUGGGAGGCCUCGUUUCUGGAAUUCUACGGUGUGCAACACUUAAAUUCAAACAAUUGAAAUUGACAUAGAUAAGGUUAUCAACGAUAGGUAAGACCUUCAUGUUCUAAUAGCGAGGAGUAUGACAAAGAUAUAUAUAAGAAUACUACCUGCGUUGCAUGGUCCAAAAGCACGACCAUCCUUGAUAUCGUGCAAGAGUUCCUCUAGCUUCAUAUUGAAUACUCGAACAAUGAUGUCAGACCUAUCACUUGGUUUCUGACCAGCAUCAAAUAUGGCCUCAUUGAUCUCAAACCACUUAGGAUUACAUGUGAAAGUGACAAAGUAGUCGGGAGGACCAUAUUCUCGACAAAUGGCAAUCCCAUCAUGAUAGUUUUGUAUCAUGUACCGUCGACCUCCUGUAUGUGAUGCUGGUAAUACUGUCAUCUUUCCCAUCUCAGCACCUUCAGUGCAGCCUCUAUUAACAGCAUCACAGAUACCCUGAAUACUUUCCAUUCUAAUGUCUUUCUGAUGCUUCAUUAUAUACCAUAGUCUAUUCUCAUCGACACAUGCACGUGCAUCAACCUUUGCCUGGCUGGAUAGGGCACCGUAACAGAGAUAAGGAUUUGGCUGAUUCUUUCUAUAAUGAAACAUGUAGCAAAAAUAGUCUUGCAUCGUGACUUUUGUGUACGAAUUUUGUUGAGUUGGUCUAACACCCGCAUACAAAACUCCAGCCUGAAAGCCACGCUCACCAAAUGGAAACAACAAUGGAUACUGAAGAGCCAUAAAAGCAGGAUGGAGAGCUGAUAUUUGUUUCAGUUCGUUUGAACGUGUUUCAAUGAUGAUGUCACGUUCAAAAGACUCUGGAGAAAAACCACCAACAAUAAGCAUAGCUAACUGAUUAACUGUUGGUAGGCUAUACUGAGGAGGAUCCCCAUCUCUAGGCGCAACAAUUCGAACCACAAAGUCCUCAUCACCAUGAUCAACCAACCUUUCUCUAGCCAUUCUGAACUGCUGUGUUAGAGGAUUAUAAUCAUCAAGCAUACGUAUCAGUGACUGAACUAUGCAAGGAUCUAGGUCUGUACCCCUUUCAUCAUCACGUGAUAGGCAUUGCAUUCUAUUUUGUACCUCAUUAGAAGUGUCAUAGACAUAUAGCUGAAUAAAUUUAGGUGAAGUUCCAUCUUGAGGAAGUAAGGAGCCAAUCCGGUGAUGGACCUGACCACAGAUCUUGAAAAUAGGGGGCCCACGGCCAUCAUUCAUCAUUCGAUCAAUAUUGGCCCCCAUUGACGUGAAUGAAAAAAGACAAUUGUACUGUCUUAUGUUCUUCAUAAACUUAUUGGAAAUGACACCUCCAUCAAACCGUGCCAAUGAGGCCAAUGGUUCGGGUCGUGGCUGGAACUGUGGUAUAACAACCUUACCGCCUCUACAACAAUUGUUGUACACUACUCUAUGAGAACGCUGGGCUGAAUCGUGGCCAACUCUUUCAGCAUGCCAAAAGACCGCAUGACAGUGUGGGCAUUCAUAGUCUGGUGCUCCGUAGUAAGAUCUUUGUCGAUAUGAAACUGUGUUGAAGGAAUAGAGGACAAAACAAGGAAAGGCAGGUUGUCAUAUGACCAACGACAACCGAGGUAUGCAAAGAACAGGAAGAGCGCAAGAAUUGUAAGGACAUGAACAAGGCCAAAAAGACACAGAAAUUGAAGGAGUGUAUACCUUUGAGAGCAUAAACAAAGGCUUCGUCAAAUUGGCCACAUGUGAGAUGAUUGCUGCUGUGCCAGGGGCCUCCUAUUGUAUUAUGAAGAAAAUGGUCUUACAAAAUUGGCUGUUACAGUACAUAGAAGCAAUGCUAUGCACCAGAUGAUGAACAAAGGAUAAAAUGUGUACGACCUGAAAGGGCGUACAUGACCAACAAUCUUACCUGCCCAAACUAAACGGUGUUGAUCUAAAAGUCUUCUUCUUUUGUGUCUAGAGGUCGUAGGAUCAAAAUCUGAUCUAGCACUGGACGACCUUUGUGUUAGUACAUCAGUGUAAAUAGUGUAAGUACUACCUUUAAAUGUACAAGACAAGGGAACCAAAACGCAUUAACCAGCGUAAGCAGGCUACAUACUGAUCCGUUCACAAGACGGUUCUACAGAUACCGGCACAGCAGUAUGUAUGUGCACUGAGGCUGAAGCUGACAAUUAGUAAUAACACUGUUAAUAGAGACAUAAGAACCAUAGUAACGGAAAGAACGCAUAGUACAACAUUUGCGGGAGAUUACAUACAGCUCCCUGCAUGGUCUAAGGCUACAUAGUCUGCCGCAAAGGUGGUGGCGUUCACCGAUGCAGAGCCUGUUAGAUUAAAAUAUAGACAAUUAACAUACAUAAACAAAGGAAAACACAAUGGAAACCAACGCUGCUCUAUUACAAUGAGCCUAGAUGAUACGUACAAACGCGAGGAGUGUCCAUCGAGCCCUGAAUAUUCAGCAACAAACAGCACAACAGAAGUGAACAAACUAUCCAUACAUUGGACAGAAAUAAACCAACUAUCCAUACAUUCGAAAAUACAGACGAAACCCAAAAAAACUUUUUACAAAGAAAGAAGCAUCGACCACUGUACAGGCCAUCGCCACAAUUCCAAAUAGCAAACAAAAUAGACAAGGUCCUUGUAAAAGAAUAACAACUACAAAAAAAAUCCUUCGCUAUGUUUCUUGGUCAAAUAUUUGUACGUACUGUGAACAGGCGUAAGCCACAUAACUAUAUACAUUUGUUCGUAAAAUAGCACAUGGCAUCCAAGGUGCGGAUGAAAUAAAAGGACAAAUGUAAUGAACUCAGAAUGUGCAGAAUAUAGGACAUGACUGAGAAUUCAAUAGAGUACAUGCACAGAUAUACAGCAAAAACAUGGAAGACACAAACAUUUUAUUGCUGAAAACAGGUAGCAUACAAAUUGGAAGCAGCACUGGGCAUAGCACUGAGCCCAUGCACCAACUGCUGUGCAGAACCCAACAAGGCGGAGUCAUAUCGAACUCCCUGGUUUGAACUGUUUAUUACAAGCCUAGCCAAUUCAACACCUCUAUUAGCUACAGGAAGUAGAUACUGGGCUAGAGCUCUAUACAACAUCAACCCAUGCGCACUGUAGUCCAAGAUAACAAAGCCAAAUCUAUCUUGCAAAGCUACAAGCGCUUGCAGAGCAGCUGCCUCAUAAGCCACUGAGCGCUCCAGACCACAAUUUGCCCAGAAGAAAAGCCUGUGUGAGUUGAGUUCACAACCUAAACCAGGUAACUCCACCUCAAUCCCAUACAAGGAAGUACCGUCGUCAAGAAUUUGAUGUAUAGUAGAUAUGUAAGGAAGGCAGCAACAAUUUGCAACGCGCUGAAGAACAGCGACGUAGGAGAUAUGUACGUCAAACAUUCUGAACCGAAAAUGGACCUGCCUUUUUGCAAUAGAAAGCAGCAAGCGCCCCCUUGCACCACGCCUACUAAGAAAGGAACAUCAAGAAAAACAAAGGCUGGCACAAUUUUGACAAACAAAGAAGAAUGAACGGCCUAGAUCCUUGGAAGUAGUUUUUAGGGAGAAAAGAGAAGGAAAAAAUCUGAAAACUCUCCGAACCACCUCUAUCGGAUUUUAGAAUCUUAAAAAAACUAAUACGAUGCUAAUAUUUUUUGUUUGGGCCAUGGGAGAGGCCAAAAAGGGGAAAACCCCCCCAAAAAAAAGACGUAAGCAAAACCAAACAACAAUAUUAGUCACACAGCAUAUAGGGUUAACCCAGAGUAAAAUAGCAACAAAAAAAUCUAAAUCUAAAACAUAGGGGGAAAUAUAUACCUGAACUGAACAAGACAAUAGAGAACGACAAGAACUAUGGUUGAGUCCCAGUUGGAGCCAAUGUGUAAACAGGCGGACACCGCGAAUACAAAACCUGCAAUAAGAAAAAAAAAAUGUGAACCAAUGGAAAGCAUUAGAAUGCAUAAGCAGAAAGACACCAAAGGUAAACGUAGAGUAACUAAAACUAACCCCGCUAACAACGAAAAGAAACGGAAGAACAAUGGACGGAGCAGGCUCAAAUCCACCGACAAAGGACGAACGGAAUCGAAAGAAUGUAAAAACAAGAUAAGAGUCUUACAAGGCAGAGGAGGGAAAACAAAGGCACAACGACAGCCCCAAACAGAUUGGGUGGACGUCGCAGACAACCGGCGCCGACCCCCGGCGGGCACACGCAGCGAGGACGAAGCGGCCGCGCACAGCCGUACCAGGCGCGUGCAGCGAGGACGGAGCGAUGGCGGCAGAAAACCGGCGCGGACCUCCGGCGACCAGACGCAGCGACAACGAAGCGGCGGCGCACACCCCUGGCGACGCCUGCAGCGAACACGGAUCGCUGAAUUCGAGGUGACCCAACGGUGCGGACACCCGGCGGGGUCCCCCGCCGGGCGCGCGCAGGACGAACCGAGCGCUGGAACCGGGCGGCGGGCGUGGAAUACAAAGAGCAGGGAGGAGCGGCGGGCAACCCGGCGAGACGCACGAGAAUAAGCAGGAAGCGGCGACGCGGAAGAAUACGGACGGAGGAAACCAGGAAAAGUACCGUGGCAACAAGCUGCUUUGACGAAAAUGACCCCGGUAGGUGUCCCAACAAUUAAAGCGACGGGGAAGUGGGCUUCGACAAGAAACGACGGUUACGCAGAAGCUAAAGAAGCGGGACCAAAACCUGAAUCAGCAAAGGAAUCAACCAGAAGCCAAACAGUAAUGUAGAAUCGGAUAUAAGCAGAAGGAUACGGAGAAAGCUGGAGCCGUCGGUAGAAAAGAUCCAACGACCGGAGUUUUAAAGACAGACGUGGAUAGCGCUUCUAAUCUAGGAGCCAACGUAGUUUGUAGAGUUAAAUACAUGUCCACUUUCGCUAUUGCUGAUCAUCAAGGGAACUUAAGAUCGCUUUAAAAGGCGAGAUAAGUCAAUCAAGAAUUAAGUGUCCUCACUCCUCACCUUAAAAAAGUGAUUAUAUGACAUCCCAAGAGCUCUACACACACUGAUCUUUGUCUUCAAAAGUCAUAUUUUGCAUUUGAAGCCUACUACUAUAAAGGUUGUCAAAGAGUUGCAGUCUCAAAACCAAGAAAGGAAAAAGAUAAGGAAUCGUCAUGUGAAACGGGGUGAAGUACACGAACUAAAUAUUCUCGAGAUCACAGAUAUAAAUCGAAACUUGCCCCCCUUCAUCCUCUUGAGGGGACAACAUGGUCGGACUACUCACCCCUAUCGUUGGCCCUCUCAGAGCAGGUACAAUAAGCCAUGUCAGUUUGGCUAAUAGCCAAGACAACUCAGCAAAGUCUGAUGUAGAAGAGAGAGAAAAUAGGAGAGAGAGGGUGAUGGUCGACGCAUUUGUCGACCAGCUCGUCACAAGCUCCAAGGCUGCAUGCGAGGGUUGCAUGUGUGGUCCUGUCCUACUUGCCAAUGAGAGCAUAGAUGGAGGGAGGUAGUGGCGGGUCCCACACUAUUAAAAUAGUUUUGGAAUAUGUAAAGAGCCAUGGUUGUUGUAUAUAUUGUCUACAAAAACUAGUUUACACAUGAUAUGGCUUGGCUAUUAGACAAGCUUAUUGGCCUUGCUCUCAUACCUCUCUCCCCCCCACCUUGUCGUCACUAGAGCAGAUUGUCGGAUGUCCGCGCGACUGCCACGAAGAAGGUGGUAGGACCACAGGAGGGGGUCUACUUCAAGUUGAGGAUGGUGCGACCAGAUCUGUCUCGAGCAGCCAAGCAACUCCGAUGACGAUGACAUGACCCGCAUCGAUGGCUGUGGCAUCCACACCGGGCUCGAUCGCAUGGCAGCAUGCAUGGGUCAAAGAGGAGUAGACGGAUUUGGCGCAUGCGACCAAGCAGGCCAACCCCGAUGACAAUGUAGAGGGACAACAGCCAAGCUAUUUGUUGUGAGGAGCGGGUGACCUAUUGUCGGAGUGGGGAACCUACAUCACCCCACACAUUGCCAUCGCCAACCCCUUUGGCUACUCCUGCAUGCCUCACCGCCAUCAGAGCCGGUGGCUGGAGCAAGGAUGGCGCCGGUGGAUAUUAGGAAAAGUAAUAUAACAAACCACAAUUAAAUAUAUAUUAUGGGUAUUGCGUGAAAAAAUAAUGAUAGGUUCUGAGCGAACAAUCAUAUAUAUUAUAGAAUAUAUAGCAGGGAUAUUACAUGAAAACAUAAAUGUGAUAAGUACUACGUGAACAAUUAAAAAUAUAUCAUAGAAUAUAGCAAGGGUGCCAUUUAUAUACUAAGUAAACAACCGGGAAAAAAGAAAUCCUUAUAAUGGGCCGAAAUAUGUGUGUGAAUGGGCCUUCUUCAUCCGGUCAGACCAAAUAUAGAAGCAAAAUAAUUAAGGAAAAAGUCCACUUUAGGUCCCUCAACUUUCACGAAAGUCUGAUUUUCAUCCUUGAACUCUAAAACCGGAUAAAAUACAUCCUUCAACUUUUAAAUCCGUGCACAUUACAUCCCUGACCUGGUUUUAAAAGCGGUUUUGUCUUUCUCUUUUUAUUUAUUUUGGCUAAUUUUUUUGAAAAAUCAUAGUAAAUCAUAUAAAAAUCAUAAAAUAGAAAACUCAAUUUUGUUGGACUUCAGAUGAGUACAUCUACACAUUGAGUAUAUAAUAUAGUAUGUUUUAGUACAAAUUUUUUUUUAUGCAUCUUUAGAUUUAUGCUUUUCUAUAAUUAAUUAGACUAAUUAUAGCUAUAGUUUCUAUGGUCCAAUUGUGAUGAAAAUUAUAUAGUGGGCUAAUUAUUCUAUGAUUGAGUUGUAGUAAAAAUUUCAUACUCAUUAGAUCAUGUAUUACUUAGUUAUAGAUUUAUUCAAGUUUAUGCUUGUUAAAUCUUAAUAAACCUAUAACUAAGUUAUACAUGAUCUAAUGAGUAUGAAAUUUUUACCAUAGUUUAAACAUAUAAUAAUUAGCACAACAUUAAAAAAAUUCACCACAAUUGGGCCAUACAACAUAUAGCUAUGAAUUAUUCGAAUUAAUUAUAGAAAAACAUAGAUCUAAAGGUACAACAAAAAAGUUGUACUAAAGCAUACCAUAUAAUAUGUUCACUGUGUAGAUCUACUUAGCUGGAGUCCAACAAAAUCAUAUUUACUAUUUUAUGAAUUUUAUGUGAUUUACUAUAAUUUUACAAAUAUUCAACAGAAAUAAAUAAAAAUGAAAAAGACAAAACUGCCUUCAAAACCGCUCAUAACCAUGUCAGAGACGUAAUAUGCAUGGUUUUAAAAGUUAAGAGAUGUAUUUUAUCCGAUUUUGAAGUUCAGGGAUGAAAAGUAGACUUUUGCGAAAGUUGAGCGACAUAAAGUGGACUUCUUCCAAUAAUUAACUUGGACCAAAUACAGUUGCCUGGGCCACACCAACAAGAAAAGCACGCCUGACUGGAAGAUUGCCGCAGACUUUUUUUUUUGCCUCGUUCAUCCUUUUUCAUAUGGACAGAUAUUACAUCUUUCUAAAAAAAAUAUAUAUCUAUAUCUAUACCUACUAAUAAAUUGUGAAAAUUUCAAUCUGCCCUAAACUUUUCUUCUGCUCCCGUCUCGGCCAGAAUCCGUCUCUCCGUCCGUUUAAGGCUUGUAGGAGAGAAAAAAAAAUAGAAUAUUUUCUAGGUUCCCAAUGCAAAUCCAUUCCGCUAGCCUCUGCCGUCCGCUCUUAAAAGAGCACAAAGAAAAUAAAUUUCUUUCAUCCUAUAUCCUAUUAAUUUUCUUUUCUUUUAUUCUUUAAUUUGGCUAAAAAUUAAUAAAUGCAUAGUAAUUCAUAGAAAAUCUAAAAAUUACAAAACAAAUUUUGUUCAGCUCGACAUAUAUAGAUUCAUGCAGUAAACAAAAAAUACGUGCAAAGUGUUUGUCCUAUUAAUUUACCUUUUCUUUUAUUCUUUAUAUCAGCUGAAAAUUAAUAAAUGCGUAGAAAUUCAUAAAAAAAUCUAAAAAUUACAAAACAAAAUUUGUUCAGCUCCACAUAUGUAGAUCUAUGUAAUAAACAAAAAAAUUAGAAAUUUUAGUAUAUUUUUUUGCUAGAGAUGCAUGCCUAUGCUUUUUAGUGUAAAAUUUAAAUUGUACUCCCUCCAUCCCAAAUUGUAAGUCAUUCCAAGAAUCUUGGAGAGUCAAACUUUUCAAAGUUUUACCAAAUUUAUAUGAUAAAAUAAUUAUUAUUAUGAUACCAACUAAAUAUCAUUAGAUUCUUCCUUAAUUAUAUUUUUAUAGUAUACUCAUUUUACGUUAUAAAUUUUAGUAUUUCACUCUAUAAUUUUGGUCAAACGUGAAAAUACUUUGACUCUCCAAGAUUUUUGGAAUGACUUACAAUUUGGGAUGGAGGGAGUAGUUAUCUUGCUCCAAUUUGGGAUGGAGGGAGUAGUUAUCCUGCAUAUCUCACUGAUUUACUAAUUUAUCUAAAAUUAUGUUUGCUAAAUAGUUUAGCAUCAAUUUAAGUGUGUAAAAAUAUAAAAUAGAAACUUCUACUAUCUUGGCACGAUUUGUUGUUAUAUCAUAUGAACACUUCAUAAUUAAGCCUAUGUAUUUAUAAUCUACAUACAUUUAACUGAUAUAUCAUAUUUUAUAGGAAUCCUAAUCUAAAUAAAAAAAUAAAGCUAGCAACAAACUUCUCAUGUUUUAAUAUAAUACUAUUUUUAUUAUUAAAUAAAUAUGUCUCCAAGCUACAUAAUACUGUAAAUAUUAACUAUCUCAUACCAUAGAUGUCAUGGUUAUCAAUAAAAUAAAUUAUGGACUUUAAAUUUCAUAAAAAAGAUAAAUAUAAAUAGAUAUGUAAUAUUAUGUCCUUAUUUUUAUGACCAUUUGAUGUUUUUUUCUCGUUGCAACGCACGGGCAUAUUUGCUAGUAUAUGCACAAAUUGCAACCAGUUUGUCCUUUGACAAAUUCAAUCAAUAAUUAAAGUCAACUACCGCUACUGUGGUAUUAUGAGCUAGUGUCGUCGUCCUAAAGGGAUCCUGAACCUUAUAUGCACUGUCACUCUUGUGGUUAACACACAUGAAGCGUGUCUGAACUCUGAAUGUGGGUUCAGCUUCUUUUCGUAUGGUAGACAGUGAAGGUGCCGAGACUGCCUAAUGUGGGUUCUGCCCAUGCUCAACUGAAUGCUGCACUGCACAAUGGUGAAUGUACACAAGGGAAAGGGUGUCGUAUAUAUGUAUGCUCGUCGUUGGCAAAGUAUCUUAUUAUCUGCUGCUCGAGUUCAGCCUAUUCGCUUGAGCUUAUCAUCUGAAUCUGUCAGCUAUUCAGCAGUGUUUUUCUUUUACAAUAAAUUAUUCAAUAGUACUUACUGUCAAUUAUCAGCCAAGCAGUGUUAAGUAAGGCUUGAACAUUUUGCUCAUGCAUGACAAAUAAAGGAAUGCCUGACAGUUGGAUUAGUUGUUACAGUGUUAAGUAAGGCCCUGCUGCACACCGUCCCAGCUCCAGUUGACGCCUUCUCAAGGUGUGUAAAGCGGGAUGACAUUGAUCGUCUAGAAGAGGUAUGUAAAGCGGGAUGACAUUGAAAGAGAAAGAAAUAGGCAAGAGAAAUAUGAUGGAUGUCGGGUAAUUAAGAGACGGUCUGACAGAAUGAGAAAAUUCUCUUAUAGACAGCAUCUUUUAUUACAGAGAUAUCGUCUACUCCUUCCGUUCCAAUUACUAAGAUAUCGUCUCUCCUUCCGUUCCAAUAUACAUCUAAAUAUAAUCAUGUAUAGCAAAAUAGAUGUACUAAAAAAAGUCAAAACGACUUAAAAUUUACAACAUAGAGAGUAUUAUGCAAUAUCUUGUCUACUCUUUUUGUAGAGACCGGAUAUUAGUUUAUCCAUUAUCUAAAAAAAAUAUCUUGUCUACUCUUUUGCCCAUCCCAAAAUAAAUGCACAUGUCACAUCUCGAGCAGUCAAUCAAUCUUAAAUUUGACCAAACAUAUACAAAAUAUACUAAUAAUAUUCAUGAAAUCAAAUAACUAUUAUUAGAUUAUUAAUCACAUCAUAUGUUCUUAUAGUAAAUCUAUUUAGGAUACUAAUGUUAUUUAGAGAUGCAUUGCCUUAUUUUGGGAUGUAGGAAGUAUUAUAUAUACUUGUCUACGAGACUACGACUAACAUAGACGUAUUUUAGAGACAGCAGCUGUUACACGCAUGCCCUCAACAGCUAAGCUGCUAAUCGAUCCUUUGCUUAGCCCUUGUUUAGUUCCACUCAAAAUCCAAAGACUUUUCAAGAUUUUCUGUCAUAUCGAAUCUUACGGCACAUACAUAGAGCAUUAAGGCCUUGUUUAGUUCGCAAAAAUUUUCAAGAUUCUUCGUCACAUCGAAUCUUUGGUCGUAUGCAUGGAGCAUUAAAUAAAGACAAAAAUAAAAAUUAAUUACACAGUUUACCUGAAAUUUGUGAGAUGAAUCUUUUGAGCCUAGUUACUCCGUGAUUGGAUAAUGUUUGUCAAAUAAAAACAAAAGUGCUACAGUAGCCAAAAAACCAAAAUUUUGCGAACUAAACAAGGCCUAAAUAUAUAUAAAUAAAAAAUAACUAAUUAUAUAACUUAUAAUUUGCGAGACAAAUUGUUUAAGCUUAGUUAUUUUAUAGUUAUAUAAUAGUUAUUAAAUACAAACGAAAGAGUUACGGUAUCUAAAUGAAAAAAAAUCUAAACAAGACCUUGUUGUCCGGCAAGUGGCCCGGCCAAUCCACUUGCCAUCAUAUUUCCAGGGCCAUUUCGUGUUUUGGUGCCCAUUUAAUAAUAAUAAUUAUAUAUAUUUGAUAUAUUGAUUGAUGAAAGAUUGAAAGGGAGGAAUUAUGAUUUUAGGGUGAUUAUUGCAUUGGGUCAUGGGUAUCACUGCAUUGAGGCUGAUGAUGUUGAAAGAUUGACAAGGACAUGCAAUUUCUCCCUCAGUCAUGACACAAGUGGGGGUUGUGUCUAUUUUGAGUGUGUUUGAUAGGCUUGCAAACCUGACUUUUUGCUUGAGUGGGCUAGGUUUGAGUUGUUUGAUUGCCUGGCCAGCCUCUAGAGCCAGCUCUAUCUAACCUGCCGUACAGUCAGGGCCAAGCCCGAGUAGAACGUUGUUGUUUCUUCUCGAGUGAUUCAUUCACGUCACCUUCCAGUCUUCACUCCCAUUCUCUUCCGCUGCAGUCCUCUCCGCCGACGGUGUUCCUCUGCUCAUCCUCCCCGCCAGUGGUGGUCCUCUGCUUGUCCCCGUCAAUCUCCGCUAUAGAUCAAGCCAUGUUGACCAAGGGAAAGCUCGGGGCUGUGGCUGCUAUGGAGGCUCUGGCAGUGCAUCUCUUCCUAUGCUGCAAAGUCGGCUGUGUGCGCCCCCGUUCGCGACGCCCACACCAGUGGCGGGGCAUAGCCACAGAGGCGGCACCGGCCACUGGCAGUGCAACGGGAGUUCUGGCACAUGGAGUCCGCACCACCUGCAGAUCCACACAUCACUCACCGUGCACCAGGCGAAGCUCUGGCACUCAUGUCGUCCGUGGUCGCCGAGCGGGACAAGCUUUGGCGUCACCACCACUCCCUCGUACGUGCUGCUCCUCCACCACCAGGCUGCUGCAAGUCCGAGCCUUGAUGCUACUAGCGUCUUGUGCGGGCAAGAGGAGGAUGCUCUGUUACUACUGCUGCCACAGUCAUCAUGAAGAACACAACCAAAGUUGAUUCAGUUUCGUCAGUUAGCUCGUUUCAGGCUCUUGAUUUAGUUAGCUCGACUGAAACAACCAUCUUCUGCCAUCUCUAUCUUCCGACCCAGUUAGCAAAAAUCUAAACCAAUUGCACUAUAUUGUAGAGCUACAUGAAUGCUGCAACAUUGCUUAAAGGUUCAAAGUCUAACUUAGAUCAGAGUGGUAGGUAGAGAGCUCUAAAGUUGGGUAUUCGCAAACUGAAAUUGACAUUCAGUAAAUUCAGUACAGACAAAAGGUAACCUUACCUAUUAUAAAAAUAUGUGACUUUAUCAAAACAAAACAUGCAACCAAACACACUCUAUAGCUAGCCAGACUACUAUAAUACAGACAACCAAACAACUAGAGAUUGGUUUGUUGGGAACAGGCUUAAGUUGCCCAGACUAAAUUUCUAGCCAGGCUAGAAGUUAGCCUCGGAACCAAACACACCCCUUAUUGUAGCAUCCUACGCAAGUUUAAAAUUCACAAUGAAAAAAAAUCAAGCAACUAAGAUAUACGAUAUGUAUCUACCGUAAUCUCCAUGGCGAAAUGGACAGGUGAUAAGGAAAAGUAAAGGUACGACUUGCUAAGAAACACAAAAUAUUAUGAGAAUAAAAACUCAAAGGGUCUAUUCAUUUGUCUAAAAAGUUAUGAUUAGUAUUUCUCAAUUUUUUUGUCCUAGAAUUAUUUCAUAGUAAUGUUAAAAAAUAGAUAGCCUUUUAGGAUGAAAUGCUUGACCAUGUCUGUCUGACAGAAGGGGGCAGGCACCCCACAAGUCAUCGACUGUCCAUCUAUCCACGUAGGAGUAGAUAACUUAGCGUCGAAGUCAACUGCGCCCUUUUAGGCCCUGAUUACACAGUUUAGUUGAGAAUCGCGAGACGAAUCUUUUAAGCCUAGUUACUCUAGAUUAGCCUUAAGUGCUACAGUAACCCACAUAUGCUAAUGACAGAUUAAUUAUGCUUAAUAAAUUUAUCUUUAAGUUUCCUGACGAGUUAUGUAAUUUGUUUUUUUAUUAGUUUCUAAAAAACCCUCCCGACAUCCUUCCGACACAUUCGAUGUGACACCCAAAAAAUUUUCAUUGCCAGUCUAAGGGCCUGUUUAGAUUGGGAACGAAAAUUUUUUCAGUGUCACAUCGGAUAUGUCGGAAGGAUGUCGGGAGAGGUUUUUAGAAACUAAUAAAAAAACAAAUUAAAUAGCUCGUGAGGAAACUGCAAGACAAAUUUAUUAAGCAUAAUUAAUCUGUCAUUAGCAUAUGUGGGUUACUGUAGCACUUAAGGCUAAUCAUGGAGUAACUAGGCUUAAAAGAUUCGUCUCGCGAUUCUUAACUAAACUGUGUAAUUAGUUUAUUUUUUUAUCUACAUUUAAUGUUCUAUGCAUGUGUCCAAAGAUUCGAUGGGAUGGAUGAAAAAAUUUUGGGUAGGGAACUAAACAGGGCCAACAGCCCCUUAUCUGCUUCCACAAAAAUCCCAUCGCCGGCCUGCCAAAUUCAAUUCACACGGCACGGCAUCUUUCCACCAAGAUUUUCCACAAAACACCCUAUAUACAUAAAGAAUCACAGUUCUACCCUUAGCAUCAUUCUUGUUCCAGCAAAAGACCUUAUCUACGCUAUUACCAAUCAACUUCGAGGUCUCUUCUGCACUUUUUUCCCACACAUACAGGACCGAGAAGUCGAGAAGCUAGGGAGGGGGGACACGACGCCACCGAGAGGGAACGCGAGGUCGCCAUCACCAUGGGGGGAGGAGUCAUGCGCACCGCCGCGAAGGUCGGCAUCGCCGGAGGCGCGGCGGCGGCGGCAAAGAGCGGCCGGUUCCGCCACGCCGCACCGGCCUUCGCCACGGCCGCCGCCGCCGCGGGUUCUGAGGCGGCGCCGCUUGUCUCCGCCUCCGGUGGCGAGGCGGUGCCCCCCGCUACGGCGCAGUGGGCGGCGUCCUGGGAGCUGGACGACUGGGAGUUCGCGGACUGGAGGGACGACUCCGCCGCGGCGGCGGUGGUGGUGGCGGAGAGGGAGGCCACGGCAGCGGCCGCGAAGCCCAGGCUGGUCUUCGCGCCGCCGUCGAGGGAGGAGGCCGAGGAGGCCACGAGUGAGCUCAGGGACGCCAUAGAGAGGUGAAAGAUCGCGUCUUUCGCAAUUCCCCUCUGUGGAUUCGUCGAAUUGGAUGGGGAAGGAGAGAAUUUUGUAUUCGUUAUCUCGACUGCUCGAUCUAUUCAUCCUGACAUGUUAGGCUGAAAUAAUUCUUUUUGACGGGAUUUAGGAAGCAUCUGAAUAUCUGAUUAGGCUUUUAUAGGGUUAUAUUAGACGAUGGGAUUCGAUUCCCCAACUGGUGAUAAGAACCCUAGGCCUAACAACGCAAUAGAUUUAUUGGAAAGGAGAAUCCGAUGCUUGCUAUUCAGUUCACUCAAAUUGUCUAGUUGAUGCAGCCUCGUAAGCUAAGAAAGCUUCCUACCAAUUUAGUUGUCGUAUUACAUGUUUCAUCCAUGUGCAUCUUACAUACUCAAGUAUGAAAGUGUGAUGCUCUGAGGUACUUGUACCUUCUCGUACAUGUCUAUUGAUGCCCUCAACAACACUUUGAUGUCAUUACAGUCUGUUGCGUCUGCACCGGAAAUACUUUGCUUCACAUUUGGUUCAUGCAUAUUCACCCUAUCCUCACAAAAUAAUUUGAUACAGGGCCUAUUUCAAUGAGACACCAGUUGAGGUUGUUAAGGAACAGGAUAAAGAGUUUAAUAAGCAGGCAACCGAUGCCAUAAUUCCUUCCAUGCCUGGACAUGUGGUCCAAGCUUUUACAUUGCUGAAAUCAAGCCCGGAGGCUCAGGUUUGUGCAAUGGCCCUUGUAAACAUACUGCACUAUGCCUGAGGCACGUUCGAGAAAGAAAAAAUAAACAUACUGCACUACUAAUUUGGGGAAAUCAAUUAUUUGUCACCCUUAGAUGCCAUUCCAAGGGGGAAAUCGUUUGUCACAUACGUCACCUUCAUACAAUGCUACCUAGUUUGUUGAAUUUUAUUAGGAUCAUUAUGUAUUGUGUUGCCAGUGGUUUGGUGUGUUAUCUACCUGCUAUAAUUAUGAAUUUUUAGAAGAAACCCUUUGACAUAUGUUUGUUUAUUGCUCCUGUCUGAUCUUCAAUAGUGAGUUCUGUGGGCAGUCUUUGCUUUUUAGUUACACAGUUAAAUAUGUAGCUGUAUCACGUAGUUUAUCUUAGCUGAUGAUCAUAUAACCGUACAACAAUUGAUGAAAACUGUUUCUUUUGACUCUUGAUCUCUAGAGUGUUGUAGCCUCCCUUGCAUCAGAUAGAAAUGUCUGGGAAGCAGUAUUGAAGAAUGAGAAGGUUAUGGAAUUUUACAAGAAUCACCAGACAAGUAUGUACCUCAGUGAUUCUUUAGCCAAAGUUAUAUGUAUCACAUUCAUCAUUUCUACCAACCUGUAUGACCAUUGUUGUUGUCCUCUGCUAUGACACAGCUCUAGUUGAGACAUUCCCUGAAGAAGCAGCCACAGUAGAGUCGCCGGGGAAUUUUGAAGACGCCACCUCUGAAAAUGCAUCCAACACUGAACUCCCCACUGGCUCACCUUUCUCUGAUUUUGUGGACAAUGCGAAGAAGAGAGUGAUGGAUGUGAUCUAUAAUAUAACCGACUUUUUCAAGGACUUGUUCGACUCAGCGGGAGCACAGGACGGAGCAGGCCCUUCAGCUGAGAAGGGUCCUUCUGCAGCAGAGAUGGCUCUCGGCGGAUCGUUCAUGGCUCUGGCCAUAGGGGUCAUCCUAGUUGUCCUGCUCAAGAGGGCAUGAUAGCUCAUGAGUACCCUCUGGGACUCAUGGUACUUCAAAUCUGUCGAAAAUUACUUGUCUAUCGUAUGGUCAAGAACUCUGAAUGUAUUGUACAGCUUGUGUCCUUGUCCUUGGAAACAGUACAAUAAAAGACUAUCUAUGCUAUAGUAUUUUGUGUGUAUCUUGGUUUUCUGAACCUCUGAUGUGCAGACACCGUAAGAGCCAAAUGUUGUGCUUGAUUAUUACAUUUGCAAAUUACAGUAUAGUAACAUGACAAAGGUCGUCAUUUGUUUGACCUGAACUGAACAUCUUGUCAUGAGUAUAGGUCUUGUUUAGUUCCCAAAAAAUUUUGCAAAAUUUUUCAGAUUUUCCGUCACAUCGAAUCUUUAGACACAUGCAUAAAGUAUUAAAUAUAGACAAAAAUAAAAACUAAUUGUACAGUUUGGUCGAAAUUGACGAGACGAAUCUUUUGAGCCUAGUAGUCUAUGAUUGGAUAAUAUUUGUCAAAUACAAACGAAAAAGCUACGGUGUCGAUUUUGCAAAAUAUUUUAGAACUAAACAAAGGCCAUGCUGAAUGGGUAGAAAAAAAAUGAAAAUGCAAAAAUAGUCUGUCAGACAACCUCUGAGCCACCCUAACCAGGACAGGCCUAGCAGGAACGAUCCUCCACAGCCGUCAGAUGGCACCUUCCGGAGCAUCCUAGCCGUCAAUCACGCUCUGGCCCAGAGGUUCUGGAUCAUCAACCAGACUUAGUGCUUGCCUCCUUGUUGGUAAAGGAUGCAGUGGUACGAUCCUAUAGAACAGAUCCUGUUCAAGUAAGGUCGUGCCGCAUCGUACCUGGACCGAGCUUAUAACUUGUGCUUGCUCUUUGCAGAUAAACGAGGUGGUACUAAAGCUCAGCGCAGGCUCUCACACUCUGCUAAUUAGCUGAUCACCUCUCUCUAGCUGGAGGAGUCAGUGACAACGGCCCAGUGAUUCCGGUAUAGGGAGAGCAGGCCCAUUAUCCCACUUGGAAUGCAGCUGACCAGUGACCAGUGAGUCAGUGACUUGGAAUGCAGCUGACCAGUGACCAGUGAGUCAGUGACUAUUCGUUUCUGCAGUUGCUCAGCCGGAGUUGACAAUUCCCCUAGACACUUGAUUCUUAAUGGCCUCAUCAGCUACAGCUGUGCCCGUCAACCACCUUACAAUUGCGUCCAAACUCCAAAACAAAACAUAUGGGACGUUCAUAAACUUCGAGUAAAUAGAAGACAUAAUAAAAUGCGUGCGCACAAGCAUAUUUUGUGAAUUCCCUAAAAAGAAGUAUAUUUUGCGAGUGCAUCUUUGAAGCUGACGAGCAACCGCUCCAACUAUUGUUCAUUCAUUCCUCCAAAAUUGCAUUACGAGUCCAUACAUUUAAUUUUGUGAAGUUAUACAACAGAUACAGAUUGGAGAAAUAAAUAACUUGUGAACAGUGAGACACUAAAGUUACAAUUUUCUUUCACGCUAUGUGGGGGCAUAGGAUCGGCAAAGCUGUUAGCAAGCUCUAUAAUAAGGGUAGACGACUUCUGCUUAUAUCCCAAGAAACUCAAUGUCACCCUCGGUGAGGAACAUCUUCCCUUUGUUUGUGUUGUUCGCUCUCUGUUGGGUAGACGGUUGCCCUCGCUACAAAAGGAGAAAGUGUUACCAAUCCGUCUAUCUAAAUGUUAGCAGAACGGGAAAUUGUGAAUUGCACAGUACCUUCCGAAGGACAAAUGCGAGAUAAAGAUAGGAAACCUCCCACUCAUCCUGUGACAGUGUACCUGUAAUUUACGUUUUUACUGUUAUAAGAUGGGGGAAAACAGUCAGCAUUCAAGGGUAGCCAAUCUCCAAGAUUCGGUGUGAAAUUACUUUGGUCCUGCCUUCCAUCACCAAGGGCACCCAGCCUCCGUAUCAGUUCAGUAAACUCUGGCUUUUGCAAAUACUCAUGCACAAAUUCGUGGAAGUUCUUCGUCAAAACCAGCUCAAGAUCAUACUGCAAGGCAUCAAAAACAAUGUGUAGUAACUAGUAACUUCUGUCUGUUGAGGCAAAGGCAGCACUUGGUCACUGUCGAAGCAAGAGAACAAAAAAAUACCUCCUCUGCGAGUAGCUUGAAGAGAUGGAAUGGAACAACCCAUUCUGGGCAAUCAACAGCAUCCUGCAUGUUGCAGAAGAGAUUUAUUAUAGCAUUUCUUUUUAAUUAAUGAUUUACAAACACAAAAGGAACUCAAAAGGAACUCUAAAGGAAGGCAGAGAAACUAGUGUCAAGAUUAAUUACCCUUUCAGAGCAUAUUCAACUAAAAGGAACACUAUGCAUAAAUUAAUGAAAAACUGUCCCACUGUUACCUCUAGGUGAAACUUGUACUUGAUACCAAAAGGUCUGGAUGCAGGGAAUUUCUACAGCAUCAUCAAAUCAAAACGACUGGAUCAGUAACUAACAAAAGGAAGGAAGAUGUUAUAAAAUAACGGAGCAGAAUUUACCUUUUCAGCAUACUCUUCACCAAAGCUAAUCCAGUAAACACUGUUCCCAAAUUCCAAACCUUCAGCUGAGCAUAGCAAAAGAGUUUUAUACUAUCAGACAGCUUACAGCAAGAGCAAGUACAGUGUGACAAAGUUAGCCAACAUAAGCUCCAGAUGGUCGCUUUCAGACAUACAUUCUCGAAGCCUUUUGAUAAUGACGUUCGCAUCAGGCAUCGUCCCAAUAAAAAUGCCUCCAGGACGAAGCAAUGCAGACACAUUUGCCAAGGCUUGUCUGGCACGUGCUUCAGUUGACCACGAAUAAUGUAAAGCAAACUGAAAUUGUAGAGCGGGAGUAAUUCAAAAUAGAGUUUGUAUGAUCGAAGAGAAUUCCUUGUACCGACAACAGCAAAGCUCUUUAUAACCUUACUCAACUAAUCAACUAUUAUUUAUAAGUUUUACAAGAUUUCACAAUAAAUAAGCAAUUAAAAGAAUAUUUUAGUCAUCGUAGUAAAGUAGUAACUUUUCUUUCAUUGUGCAAAAUGAUGAUACUAAAUACUGAACCAUCUUCUUAUUGAAAAAUAUUUGCAUGGUAGCUGUCUGUCAUGAAUGCAUUCAUGGCUUGUGGAUUUAGAGAAGCUUCGACAAAUAAAAAAGUGCACUGACAAUUAGGUAAGGAUAAAGUUGAACCCACACAACAAAAUGGAGAAAUGAAAAAUCAAUGGCUAAAAGUAGAAAGCGAGAUGCCUCACCUGACAGCUACAUAUGUCAAAAGGAGCAUCCUCAUAUAGAUACUCAUCCAAACGAGCCUAUGGAAGAAUGACAAGAAAAUAAAUUGGUCUGUUUGUACUUCAAUCUCUUUAAACUUAAUAACCAUAAGAAGAAAGUCACAGGCAACGAAUUAUGAGGUACACUAUAUUCUGCCUAACAUACGAAGAAAGUCACAGGCAACGAAUUAUGAGGUACACUAUAUUCUGCCUAACAAUGUGAAAGAAAAAGGCUGUAUCACAUUUUCAGUAAAAAAAAGUAUAAACAAGCCCAAAAGUGUUUUAUGCAAGGCGCAUGCUUGCAUAGAAUUUGACAUAAUUACAGAAAUAAUCAGCUGUUUUAAACAGCCUGUGGUUAUAUGCCUGGUAACAUGUUCAGUCUAUUAGUGGGUUUUGCAUGCGCAAAAAAGGCAAACCAUCAAAGUUAGUCAUGGGCAACCAAUUAGCAUUUUUCUCUCUUUUAUUUACCUCAUAACAAUCUGUGCAAAGAAGUCGUGCAGGGAAACUGAACUUCUUCCUCCGUUGUUGAUCUGUGUCACCAUUGUAGCGGGUCAUGCAAUCUUUUAUCUGAAAGUUUAAGGCCAUCAUAUGCCCAUGCUCCAAAAGUGGUGCAGAUACAUCAAAAUAUAUUGCACAUAAGAUGAGAUUACAACAGAAAGUGUUGAGUCUGUUGGUUUGUAAAUUGAGACCUCUAAGAGGCAUGAAACAUAAACACACAAGAGCACAAAAAGAAAGAAAAUAUCAAUGUUCAGAGGGCCAUCAACUACUCCUGGUUUAGCUGAAGAUACAUAUAAUACACAAAAUGUCUCUGAAGAUGGGUUAGCUGAAGAUACAUAUAAUACACAACUACUCCUGGUUUACUUGUAAUAAACAUAGAAUAAAUGUCUUGGUGCGAUAAGAAACUAACCGAGCCUUCAGCAAUAUCAACUCCCACGUAGUAGCCAACCUUGGCUUUAUCCCACUUUAUCAAAUCACCUCCCUACAUUACAAAACAGAGCAGCAUAGGUCAAUGGUUAACGCCAACUUCAAGCACGAGAAGCAGAGCUAUUUCUACUGACUACUUAACCGCCGCAGCUGGCCACUUACCUUCCCGCAAGCAAGAUCAAGCACACAGUGGCCCGGGCGUGCAUACAGCUGGAUCAGAACACUCUUUAUCUGCCGAGACACACACACAGAUUGAACGACGGUUACUCGGCUAGCACGGUAAUGGCUGGAUGUAACACAAACAACAGGGGUUCCUCAUUCCAUCAAGGAAUCAAACAGGGAUGGAGUGUGUGUGGUAGGGCGGUUAAAUUGAACUGAGGAUCUGAGACACACCCAGUUGUUGAGCUUCUUGAGGUGGAUGAUGGGGCUGCUCUCGCGCUCCUCCAGCGUCUGGUUGGACCGCGCGCUGUAGUGGUCCGCCACCCGCUGCGCGCUGCUCCGCUCCUCCGAGUACCCCUGCUGCUCGCCAUACCCGCCGCCUGCCACCCAAAGCCCUCAACCUCUAGUUAUUCCGCCUCGCCUCACCUCGGCCACGACGCCGGCCCGGGCGACUGGUGGGGACAGGAAGGAGGGGACGACGCGACGGGAGGAGUACCUGCGCCGUACUGGCGCUUGGGCGCGGAGGCGAAGGAGGAGGGAUCGACGCGGGGCCGCUUGCUCAUUCGGCCGCCGCAGACGACGACAACGACGCAGAGCUUUUCCCCGGUGGCUCGAAUUGGGUAGAGGCGUACACUCGGAGCGGUUGGGUACAGGCUGCGAACUUUCAAUUGGGUUUGGGUACGUCAGGCGGCGGCGCCAGGCACAGGCAGGCUUUGGGUCGGUAACUCCACUGCUGAUUCAAAAAAAAACUCCACUGCUGAUCACCCUCUCCAAUGGUAUCACUAAGGUCUCGUUUAGUUCCCAAAAAAUUUUGCAAAAUAUUUCAGACUCUCCGUCACAUCGAAUCUUUAGACGCAUGUAUGGAGUAUUAAAUAUAGACGAAAAUAAAAACUAAUUGCACAGUUUGAUCGGAAUUGACGAGGCGAAUCUUUUAAGCCUAGUUAGUCCAUGAUUGGACAAUAUUUAUCAAAUACAAACGAAAAUGCUACAGUACCUAUUUUGUAAAAUUUUUUGCAACUAAACAAGGCCUAAAAAUGUUUUUUCUGCGAUGAACUUACGCCUUCUUUAGUUUGAAAAAUUUUCAAGAUUUUUCGUCACAUCAAAUCUUUGGUCGCAUGCAUGGAGCAUUAAAUAUAGACGAAAAUAAAAACUAACUGCACAGUUUACCUGUAAUUUAUGAGAUGAAUUUUUUGAGUCUAGUUACUUCGUGAUUGGACAAUGUUUAUCAAAUAAAAACAAAAUACUACAGUAGCCAAAAACAAAAACUUUUGCAAACUAAACAAGGCCUAUCUUUGCUAAAAACAAUGAGCGGCACCGGCGUGAUUGAACUGCUGGUAGGUUGUAUCAGCGGUCAUCGUUCAACUACACGGCGCUGGUGCGGCCAGGAGUAAUCCAGGGUUGCCGCCUAGUAUUGCUGUAGUACUACAGUACAGGGGAUGAUCCAAAAACGGAGUAACAUUUCCCAACGUUCCACCGGUCUUUCUUUAUGUCUUCAUCUAGCUGAAAACUGAGGUCUUGUUUAGAUAAGAUUUUUUUUAUUUUGAUACUAUAGUAUUUUUAUUUUUUAUAAACAUUGUCUAAUUAUGAAAUAACAAGUUUAAAAAAUUAACAAUAAAUUCUCUCUGGAUUGUUUUCAUUAAUUUUGCAAAAAAUGAACUGCUCCUAAAUUAUUAACAAUGAGCGGAAAGUGAAUAAAGGUAAUCUUUGCUAUCUCUCACUCUCUCCAUUCGUCCGUCGGUUCCUCACUAAGUUCGGCGUCUCUUAUUUCCAUCCUUCUUUUUAGGCCUUGUUUAGUUGGCAAAAUUUUGGUUUUUUUGGCUACUGUAGCACUUUCGUUUUUAUUUUACAAACAUUGUCCAAUCACGGAGUAACUAGGCUCAAAAGAUUCAUCUCAUAAAUUUCAGAUAAACUGUGUCAUUAGUUUUUAUUUUUAUUUUUAUUUAAUGCUCCAUGCAUGCGACCAAAGAUUCGAUGUGACGGGGAAUCUUGAAAAUUUUUACGAACUAAACAAGGCCUUAGUUUACAACUGCAAAAUCCUCUUUUGUGCCACGCCAUUCAUGUCAUGCAGACGUGUGGUUCACCCCCUCAUCUUUCGUAAACUCACACCAGGUGUACUCAUUUAAGUUGAGUUAAUCUCUGUCAAUUUUCUAUAUGAGUUUAAUCUUCAUUGCGCUAGUUUUUAUAAUAAUCUUGAAAUUUAUUUGAUUUAAGAUUACACCAAUUCCAACUAAGGGGGUGUUUGGGACUGCUCCACAAACUCCACCAUAGAGCAGCUCCACAAAAAACUGGAGUUUGUGGAGUAUCCCUUUAGGUACUCUCACAACUCCACCCUUUUUUCUCGAACUCAGUGCGUGGAGCUGAAACCGUUUGGCUAAAAAACGUGGAGCAGAGCAGUCCGAAACACCCUCUAAAUUUAUGUGAUCGCGUAAUUUGUGUCCAUACCAAAAAUCAUGCACCGGUUAAUUAAAAAGUGAUCUCGUAAUGAUCUGGAUUAGAUUGUGCUAGUUUUGUUGUGAAUUUGAUCAUGUGUUGAUGUGUGAAAAAGUGAUAUCUGGUUGAAUUGUAAGUGUGAUCACGUACCGGAAAAGAAAACUCGCCUCGCCGGUGGAAAAAAAAUCUGGAAAUAAAAAACAAACUGAAAAUCAUGAAACAAAAAUCGAAAAUGAAAAAGAAUUGGAAACCAUGUGCAGCCACGAUCGAAAAACAGUUUUGUUGGGAAAAAAAUGGAGAACCAAAGAAACUGGAACCAGUAACUGGAAACAGAAAACUAAUCAGAAAAUGGUGGAGAAAAAAAUUCACAUCUUUAAUAUUAAAUACUACAUAUGUGCCCUUGCGUUGCACGGAGGUCACGUAUUUAUCUCCACGGAUGUAGAUGGCUUGCAGUUUAGACGAAGAUAAUAAGAAAUCUACAACUCAAUUACAUUAAAAAUAUGAAGUCCAUAUCAUUAUAUAUCUAAAUAGUUGUGAUUAGUAACAUUGCACACCAGCUGUGGUCCGACGAGCUACCGCUGGUGGUACUUGGUGGGUAGCUAGCGAGUUGGGUUGGCGCGUCAGCAACCUCCCCGAUGCGAGUGGCAAUGGCGGGCGAGAUCCCUUCGCUUAGCUGCCGAGCGGGGGCUUUGAUUUUGGCGGCAGCAUGGUGAUGGUGGUGCACGCGGCCUCGGGAGUGACCAGCCGGAGUCGUUCUCAAAUUAGUAUUUUUGUUUUUCUUUUUUCGUUCACAUACCAGGCCCAUGAAAUUUUCCCACCUACAGCGACCUACGUGGCUUAAGGCUUUUAGAAUUUAGACGAACAAAUUUAAUUAGGUAGACAAUGUAAAUUUGGUUCAAUAGACCCAUUUCAUGAUCUUUAUGACAUGUGUUGUGUAAGGCCUUGUUUAGUUCCUAAAAAAUUUUGCAAACGUUUUUAGAUUUCCCGUCACAUCGAAUCUUACGACACAUGCAUAAAGCAUUAAAUAUAGAUAAAAAAAAUAACUAAUUAUAUACUUUGUCUGUAAUUUGCGAGACGAAUCUUUUGAGCCUAGUUAGUCCAAUAAUGUCCGUUUUAUUAAAAAUUUUGGAACUAAACAAGGCCUAAGAUAAGCAAAUGGAACCUUAGUUUAUAGAAACCUAACAAUAUAAAGCCUAUUUCAUGAUCUUUAUGGCAUACAUCGUGUAUAUUUUGUUUAUAGAAACCUAACAAAAUUAUAUUUUAUUUUUUUAACUUAUACAUAUGACACUUUUUAUCUUUAUAGUUAUUUAUCACUGAAACCAUAUUUUUAUUUCUGUUUCUUACUCCUCACAUCCUUCUCCUUUUUUCCACUGCAAGGGUUUUUUUUUAAUGGGCGCUUCUUUUAACCUAGAUCUUGUUUAGAUCCAAAAACUUUUUGGAUUUUGAUACUGUAAUAUUUUUGUUUGUAUUUAGCAAUUAGGACAGUCUUAAUGGGGUUUGAUCAUAGUUUAAUGGACAUUAAAUAUGCUAAUGUGGCACCAUAUUAAUAAAUAUAGAGGUAAUAAGAGUUUUAUGGAAGUAGACAGAGUUUCAUAGCUCUUCUACAUUGUUUCCAAAAUAUGUAUUGAGUUGGAAACUAUGUCAUGAAACCCCCAUUGAGGAUGGCCUUAUUGUCCAACCAUGGACUAACCAGACUCAAAAGAUUUGCCUCGCAAAAUAUAGACAAAUUAUACAAUUAGUUAUCUUUUAUCUAUAUUUAAUGUUCUAUACAUGUGCCACAAGAUUCGAUGUGAUAAGGAAUCUUAAAAAGUUUUUGGAACUUGAGGUGAACUAAACAAGGCCCUAGAGGUAUUAAUAGAAGUCAAGUACUCAAUCCAUCCUAAAUUAUCAAGACGUUUGACUUUUUUGGCACCAAGUUUGACCACUUGACUUAUUCAAAAAUUUGUGCAAAAUAUCACUCUUUUGUCGUGACUUGGUUUAUUAAUAAAAGUUCUUCAAAAAUAAUUUAAAUUUGAAUAUAUUUGUAUAAAUUUUUUGAGUAAGACGAGUGGUCAAACUUGAGAUAAAAAGUUAAAUGUCUUCUAAGUUGAGAUGGAGGAAGUAGUAAACAGAGUAUGUAGGGAUUAUGGAAACAGAGUCACUUACAUAGGAAGGAAGUCAUGCAUGACGACACAAAGAGCCGAGCGAGGCGAAUUCCUGUGCUACAAUGUCCUAGAGAUGUUUUAUUUAUUAUUAGGGGUAUAGAUUAUUAUUAUAGGUACUAUAUAGAUAUAGAUAUAGAUAUAGAUAUAGAUAUAGAUAUAGAUAUAGAUAUAGAUAUAGAUAUAUUUCAUAGAUAUAGAUAUAGAUAUAGAUAUAGAUAUAGAUAUAGAUAUAGAUAUAGAUAACUUCUUUCAUAUUAUUAUUGUAGGUAUUUAGAUAUAUAUUGAGUCAUACUAGUAUAUUGACAGACAAUGUAAAUUUAGUUUAAUAGACCCAUUUCAUGAUCUUUAUGACAUGUGUUUGAAAGGUCCUAAUAUGGCUAGAGGGGGGGUGAAUAGCCUAUUUAUAAAUUCUACAAACUCACUAGAGCAAGAGGUUAGUAAAUAACAAAGCGAAGCUUUUUGCUCUAGCUCUAAUAGGGUGUUUGCAAGCCACCUAUCCAACAAUUCUAGUUGAUAUAAUCACUAGGCACACAAGAGCUAUGUCACUACUUACACUAGAAAGCUACCUAAAGUUUCUAUACAAGUAAGUAAGCUACUCUAGUUUGCGGGAAUGUAAAAGAGUGGAUGAGAUAAUUAUACCACCGAGUAGGGGAUGAACCAAUCACCAAUAUAAACAACCAAGCACCGGGAGAAUGCCAAUCAAACACAAUUGAGACACCGAUUUUUCUCCCGAGGUUCACGUGCUUGCCGGCACGCUACGUCCCCGUUGUGUCGACCAACACUUGGUGGUUCGGUGGCUAAGAGGUGUAGCACGAAUCUCGUCCUCACUAGGACACCACAAGAACCUACCCACAAGUGAGGUAGCUCAAUGACACGAGCAAUCCACUAAUGUUGCCUUUGGCUCUCCGCCGAGGUAGGCACAAACCUCUCACAAUCACCGGGAGAUGGCCACGAACAAUCACCAACUCGUGCCAAUCCUCCUCCGCUACUCCAAGCCGUCUAGGUGGCGGCAACCACCAAGAGUAACAAGAAAACCGCAGCCAAAUCGAUCCCCAAGUGCCACUAGAUGCAAUCACUCAAGCAAAUGCACUUGGAAUCACUCCCAAUCUCACAAAGAUGUUUAAUCUAUGAAGGAGAUGAGUGGGAGGAGUUUGCUUAGGCUCACAAGGAUGUCAAGUAUGUUAGAAUGCCAAGAGUAUAAGCCCCAAGCCGGCCAAACACGUAUAUAUAGCCCCUCAAACAAAUAGAGCCGUUGGCUCUUUCACUGGGCAAAACUCGGGGUCACCGGACGCUCUUAAAGGGGCACCGGACGCUCAACACCAGCGUCCGGUGCUCCAACGUCAGCCGCGUGUCAGAGCCUAACGGUAACCUGCAGAGCACCGGACGCUGAGCAAGUUAGCACCGGACGCGUCCGAUGCACACCGGACUCAUGCGCAGAGAGUUUCGCAAAUUCGCAGGUUCACCGGACGCACCCUCAGCGUCCGGUGCUCACCGGACCCAUGCGCAGAGAGGGUCGCAAAACGCCCGCACAUCGGACGCGCACCACCGGACGCUCAAGCCAGCGUCCGGUGCCUAUCGUCCGGUGCCUUACCCUAGCUGGGCCAGGCACUGUCUGCACACCGGACGCUCAGACACAGCGUCCGGUGCCUCUAAGCCAGCGUCCGGUGAGUGUUUUCUCAGCGAGAAACACUCCCGCGACUUCACUAAAUUUCCCUCCGGCGCAAUAGAAAAUAUGCACUUCAUUUUCUCGAAAAGCGCCGAAUCCCGCCUCGCAAGCUCGGCGGGAGGGAGAGAGGAACCCAUCCUCUCUCAACCAUUCAAACUUCAACUCCCUUCUCAAAGUGUGCCAACACCACAACGUGUGUACCAACAAAUGCACGUGUGUUAGCAUUUUCACAACCAUUUUCUUCGAAGGAGUUAAGUUAGCUCACUAGGUUCUAAAUGCAUGCACAAGAACAAUAACACCUAGUGGCACUUGAUAACCGCUUAGCCAAAGAAUUCCCCUCUUUAUAGUACGGCUAUCUAUCCUAAAUGUGAUCACACCCUCUAUGGUGUCUUGAUCACCAAAACCAAAACCAAAACCCUAAGCAAUACCUUUGCCUUGAUCUCCAUAGGGUUUUGUUUUUCUCUUUCUUCUUUUCCAAGUUGAGCACUUGAUCAUCUUGUGGUCAUCACCAUCAUCACCAUGAUCAUCACUUGCUCUAUCACUUGGCAUGUACCAACCUCAUUUAGUCUACACACACUUAGCAUAGAGGUUAGUACUAGGGUUUCAUCAAUUAUCCAAAACCAAACUAGGGCUUUCAGUGUUGUGUAGAAAAGUUUGUUCGCUUGUCAAGUCAUGGUUGAAAGUACUAUUUUUUCGGUUUAUUGUGAGAGAAAAAUAUUGUUGGCCAGCAGAAAAAAGGUACGGCUUACAUUAGGCCUUGUUUAGUUGCUAAAAAAAUUUGCAAAAUUUUUCAGAUUUUCCGUCACAUCGAAUCUUACGACACAUGCAUGGAGCAUUAAAUAUAGAUAAAAAAUAACUAAUUACAUAGUUUGCCUGUAAUUUGUGAGAUGAAUCUUUUGAGUCUAGUUAGUCUAUGAUUUGAUAAUAUUUAUUAAAUACAGAUAAAAGUGCUAUAGUGUCUAUUUUACUAAAAAUUUUGAAAUUAAACAAGGCCUAAGACAAAGCAAAUGGAGCCUUAGUUUAUAGAAACCUAACAAUGUAAGCCUAUUUCAUGAUCUUUAUGAUAUAUACCGUGUAGAUUUUGUUUAUAGAAACCUAAUAAAAGUAUUUUUUUUUAUUUUUUUAACUUAUACAUGUAUGACACUUUUUAUCUUUAUAGUUAUUUAUCACUGAAACCGUAUUUGUGUUUCUGUUUCUUACUCACAUCCUUCUCCUUUUUUCCACUCGGAGGGGCUUUUUUUAUUCGGCGCUUCUUCCAACUUAGGAUCUUGUUUAGAUCCAAUUUUUUUUUAGAAAUUGACACUGUAACACUUUUGUUUGCAUUUAGCAAUUAGGAUAGUCUUAAUAGGAUUUUAUUAUAGUUUAGUGAAUAUUAAAUAUGCUAAUGUGACACCAUAUUAAUGAACAGAGAGGUAAUAAGAGUUUUAUGAAAAUAGAGAGAGUUUCAUAGGGAUAAAACUUUUCUACAUUGUUUCCAAAAUAUGUAUGAGUUGGAAACUGUGUCAUGAAACCCUCAUUGAGGAUGGCCUUAUUGUCUAACCAUAGACUAACUAGGUUCAAAAGAUUUGUCUCGCAAAUUAUAAACAAAUUGUGUAAUUAGUUAGUUUUUAUCUAUAUUUAAUGCUCCAUACAUGUGCCACAAGAUUCGAUGUGAUAGAGAAUCUUAAAAAGUUUUUGAAACUUGAGGUGAACUAAACAAGGCUCUAGAGGUUUUAACAGAAGUCAAAUACUCAAUCCAUCCCAAAUUAUCAAUACGUUUGACUUUUUUACACCAAGUUUGACCACUUGUCUUAUUAAAAAAAAUAUGCAAAAUAUCACUUCUUUUGUCGUGACUUGGUUUAUUAAUAAAAGUUCUUCAAAAAUGACUUAAAUUUGAAUAUGUUUGCAUAAAUUUUUUUGAGUAAGACGAGUGGUCAAACUUGAGGUAAAAAAGUCAAAUGUCUUAUAAUUUGAGAUAGAGGAAGUAGUAAACAAAGUUAGAGCCUAUUUGCUUGUCUGAAAAAGUCAUGGAUGAAAGUAUUGUUUGCUGUUUUUUUUAGAGAAAAUACUACUGAUUAGCAGAAAAAUAUAGCUUAUAAGACAAACGAAUAGAUUCUAGUCAUGUAAAGAUAGAGUCACUUGAGCAUCUCCAACAACUUGGUAAAAUUCACUUGUCAAAUCUUGAGUUAUAGCAAGUUGCUAAUUUGUUUAGCAAAAGAAAAAAAGAUGUGUCUCCAAUAAGUUGUUAUUCUCACUUGGUAAAAAUAGAGGAUGACAGAUGGGAUCCGCUCACUUGGUAAAAGAAUAUGUGUCUCCAACAAGUUGCGCUCGGGAUAGCAACUUGGGAUAGCAACUUGACAAAUCUCGGCAGUAGAAACCUCUGGAUAGCAACUUGGAAAAUUUAGCAAGUUGAGAUACGGAGUUUUUGAUGGAGGAUUUUUAUGCUUUUAGCAAAUUUGGUAGGAUAGCAUGUUGAAAUACCAAGUUGUUGAAGAUGCUCUACAUAGGAAGCAAGUCAGCACGACAGACACAAAGAGCCGAGGCAUGCGAUUUCCUAUGCUACAAUGGAUUAUUAUUAUUAUAGGUAUAUAGAUAUAGAUAUAAAUAUAUUUCAUAGAUAUAGAUAUAGAUAUAGAUAUAGAUAUAGAUGACUUCUUUCAUAUUAUUAUUGUAGGUAUUUAGAUAUAGAUUGUGUCAUAUCAGUAUAUUGAUAGAAUGAUAGGUCAUUUAAUUUAAUCGUUACUCGGGUUGUUGGUUGGAACUUGGAAACAGCAAACAGGAGUGGAUCCGGGACGCAAUCUACGGGGUUGCGAGUUGGGAGCCAAAAGGGCAGCGACGGUUCGGAUCGAAUGCCACGGCCCGGGCCCACGGAGGGAGGAGUUGAUUUAUACCGUCUCGUCUGCCUGGCGCUGGCUGCCUUGCCGAACCCUACCACCAAGCAAAUCAUCAGCGAGGCAGCCAUGUCGAACACCAAGAGUCCCCAUCUCCAUCCGCCGCCGCCGGCAGCUGGCUUGUUCCAAGACGACGAGCCGCUGGACCGCCCGACCGCACCGCCGCAGGGCCCGGCAGCCAACGGCGGGCGCGGGCUGGUCCUCAGCACGCAGUGCGAGUUCCCGGCCGUCGGGAGGUUCACCUCCCGGGACAGAUUCGCGGUGCUCGUGCACGCCAAGGCGCCGUCCGACGUGUCCCGCGCGCCGCUCGACCUCGUCACCGUGCUCGACGUCAGCGACAGCAUGAAGGGCGAGAAGCUGGCGCUGCUGAAGCAGGCGAUGUGCUUCGUCAUCGACCAGCUCGGCCCCGCCGAUCGCCUCUCCGUCGUCACCUUCUCUAACGACGCCAGCCGCCUGACCCGCCUCGCCCGCAUGUCGGACGCCGGGAAGGCCUCGGCGAAGAUCGCCGUGGAGUCGCUUGCCGUCCAGGGGUUCACCAACAUCAAGCAGGGCAUCCAUGUGGCAGCCGAGGUGCUCGCCGGCCGCCGGGAGAAGAACGUCGUCGCCGGCAUGAUCCUUCUCUCGGACGGGCACGACAACUGCGGCGGCACAAGCGUCAGGCCCGACGGCACCAAGAGCUACGUCAACCUCGUGCCGCCCUCGCUCACGGUCGCCGCCGGCAGCAGCCGGCCCGCCGCGCCGAUCCACACGUUCGGCUUCGGCACCAGCCACGACGCUGGCGCGAUGCACGCCGUCGCGGAGGCCACGGGCGGCACCUUCUCGUUCGUCGGGGACGAGGCGGCGAUCCAGGACUCGUUCGCGCGCUGCGUCGGCGGGCUCCUCUCGGUGGCCGUGCAGGAGGCGCGCGUCGCCGUGACGUGCCUGCACCGUGGCGUCCAUGUCCAGCAAGUCAAGUCCGGCGCCUACGUCAGCCACGUGGGCGCCGACGGCCACGCCGCCACCAUCGACGUCGGCGAGCUCUACGACGGCGAGGAGAGGCGGUUCCUGGUGCUCGUGCACGUGCCGAGAGCCCGGUCGACGGAGGAGGUGACCCGCCUCAUCAAGGCGAGCUGCACGUACCGAGAGGCCGCGACGGGGCAGGCGGCGCGCAAGGUCGCGGCGCCCGCCGCCGUGGUGCAGAGGCCGCUGGAGCUAGCGACGCUGCCUGCCCCGUCCUUGGACGUGGAGCGGGAGCGCGUCCGCCUCGCGGCGGCGGAGGACAUCGCGGCGGCGCGGACGGCCGCGGACGGCGGGCAGAACGCCGGCGCCGCGCGGAUCCUCGAGUCCCGGCUCAAGGCCGUGGAGCAGUCGGCGCCGGGGGCCGCCGGCAACGACCCGACGUGCGAGGCGAUCAAGGAGGAGCUGCGCGACCUCAGCGCCCGCGUGGGCGACCGGGCGGAGUACCAGCAGACGGGGCGCGCGUGCCUGCUCGCCGGCAUGAGCUCGCACGCGCAGCAGCGCGCGUCGGGGAUGGACGUCGUGCCGCAGUCGACGUCGGCGAGCAAGGGUGGUGGUAGCGCGUACCUGACUCCCAAGAUGGAGGAGAUGGUGGAGAUGUCGCGUGAGAGCAGCAGGAAGCGUGGCGGCGGCGGCCAGCACCAGCAGCAGACAGUCGGCACGUCGGGGCAGGUCAAACAGGCCAAGAUAGAAGUCAUAGAAGAAGAAGGUACGAUUUCGUUCGAUUCUGAUGGAGCCAGGAGGCGCCAAGGUCGACUACCUCUGUAUGAUGAGUAGGCCCGCAUUUGAUAUGUUAUGUCCUGAAUUGAUUUGGCACUACUACUGAUACUGUUGCUAGCUAUAAACUUGGCAUGUCAUGUUAUCUUCUUAUAAUUAUUAGUAUCAAUCAAGAGAAGGGAGGUUGGUCAUGCAUGGACUCUGUUGUGCUCGUGCUCGUGUUGUUCAAGGUAAUGCAGUUUUUUCUUGUCAAACACUAACAGUUUACGCGCUCAGACAAGAUAUGCCUUAAUUUGCGGUUGCGUUUGGUAAAUGGAAUAUUAAUCUUGAGAUAGAUAUGACAAAGAAUGGCUAUGAUCGUAGAGAGACUUAAAAACUGAUGGCAUUAUAUUUGUUUGUCGGGCAAUGCUACGGUGCACUUUUUACUUGCAAAGAGGUAAUAUUUCAAAUAAAUCUGAACCUUUGAUUUUUUGAGUUUCUGAAUUAAUUUAUUGAUUAAUUAAGCUAGGAAAAUAAAAAAAAAAAAAACUUGUUGAAUCCCCUCUCAACACGUUGUCCUUUCUUUCUCUAUGCGACCAGAGGCUUGUCAUCUUCCAUGUCCGUGGAGUCGUGGUCCUUUCUUUUAUGUAUGCGAGAGAAAAGUUGGAGGCGGAGACGUGUGUUUUAAAUCUGAACAUGCACAAAUAUUUAUUCUAAUAAAAUAAUAGAUGAAGUAAGUGGAUAUUUGCUGUCUUUAAAAUUAAAUUUGUAUCCAAAUAUAAAUUUAAAUUCAAACUGUUCGGUUCAUAUUCACAUAUAGUACGUGUGACGCUUCCAGUGAAAUAUAAAUAAAUUAAUAUAUUUGAGCUUGCAGAGUAUUUGAGCUUAUAGGCUUUGCAUUCAUGUAUUUGCAAAAAAGUCUUAAAAACACCUAUCCAAUAGUUUGGCAUUUGGACUUUGCAAUUUUAUUAACUUGGCAAAAAAAGAGGAAGGAUUGGCAUAUAUACCAAGCUUGUUCACACUUGGCAUUGGAAAACUGGCGCGAAGUCCGUGCGCGGCUACAGGUUAAGGUCGCGCGAGUUUGGCGACAUUCCGCCGCCAGACUUUCCUGCGAACUGCCCAUUGGUCUUCCAUCAUCGCCAGGUACUCCAUCGAUGCCCUCCCAAUUAUUUGUGUUUUUGCCUAUCGGUCUUCCAUCAACGCCAGGUACUCCAUCGAUGUCUCGGAUCGUUUUUGCCGGCAAAGACUCCAGCCGCCAAACUCCGAGCGGCUAUGCACAAACGUCGCGACCUCAGCGCCUCGAUAGAAAUAAAUUUUCCGCGAACAUUCACCCGGCACGCGGAGAGGAAAAAAGCUCGACAAAAAAAUUGUGUGGGUCCACAAUUUUCUUUUUUGCCAAGUGAUUAAUGCCAAACCAUUGGAGAUUGCCUCUUUUUACCUUUGCCAUAUUUUUUGAGACUUGGCAAACUCCCUCAUUUACCAAAACCAAUUAUGCAAAACGGUUGGGGAUGCUCACGGGUGUAUCAAUCAAACCUUAAAGAAAGAUUUUCUAUACCUCAAACUUCUCUUAUUUAUCAUAAUUUACAAAAUAAAAAUUAAAUAAAUAUAUAUUUUAUCUAGGAAACGUAUUUAGUGAAAACCACAAACUUCAUAAAAACUUGUGCAAACCACGACAAAAAAGUAAAUUAUGAUGAUACACCAAAAAAAUUCUUGUCCAAACUCGAAUUCAUUUGUGAGAUAUAAAAAUAACAUUUUUCUAACAAAUCCCGUGGACAGCUUUUUGGCUUGAAAUUUAUUAUUUUUAUAUCUCACAAACAAAUUUGAGUUUAGACAAGAUAUUUUACAAUGUUGUGUAUCAUCAUAUCAUAUACAUGUGUGAUUUUUUUGGUAAAUUUAGACGACUUUUUUUGUCGUAGUUUGCACAGGUUUUCAUAAAGGUUGUGGUUUCCACCAGAUAUGUUCCCUUUCAUCUGCACAGUAUUACCUUCUUGUAGGUAAUAUGUGAUCAUUACCGUUCGAUCAAAAUAAAUAAAUGGUUCACAAUUACUUGGGAGUAUCGUAGCAAAGCUCUUGUUUGUCAUAUUGAUCAGUCGGCAAUUAUCUGAUCCUAAGGUCGAACCUGUGAACGGAAUUUGGUUUGCAUUGUAAUUUCGUAACUCGUAAGCCCAUGCCAUCACUCAACUCGUUUGUUAGCUCACCCAGUCUGAUCAACAGAAGCUACGCUCGUUCCUCAGAACAGUAACGGAUGAUCCGAUCCGCAUGCAUGUGGAGUCAGCUGUUGGAUGAAGCUAAGGCCCUGUUUAGUUUUCUACCCAAAAUUUUUUCAUCCAUCCCAUCGAAUCUUUGGACACAUGCAUGGAACAUUAAAUGUAGAUAAAAAAAUAAACUAAUUACACAGUUUAGUUAAGAAUCGCGAGACGAAUCUUUUAAGCCUAGUUACUCCAUGAUUAGCCUUAAGUGCUACAGUAACCCAUAUAUGCUAAUGACAGAUUAAUUAUGCUUAAUAAAUUUGUCUUGCAGUUUCCUGACGAGCUAUGUAAUUUGUUUUUUUAUUAGUUUCUAAAAACCUCUCCCGACAUCCUUCCGACACAUCCGAUGUGACACCCAAAAAAUUUUCGUUCCCAAUCUAAACAGGCCCUAACAAAAACACGCUAAGUCAGCUGUUGGAUGAAGCUAAUCCUUGAACCAUGCUGAUAGAGUAAUGCUUGAUAUAAUAGGUCGAUAUGAUCAUAACAUGUCACAGGAGACAGUAAUUGUUCUCAAUAUGCAAACAUAAAUAGGCCAUUGUUCUUGAUAAGGUAGCACGUGCACCAAAAAGUUGAUAAGUAGCACGGGCACAAAAAAAAACUGAAUGCAAACCCAAAAGGCUUGUUCAACAACGUGUCAAUGUUAGCUAAUUAUUUGUAAGUAGUUCAUGAAUGAGCUAUAUAAACCACGUUAAUUGAUGGAUUUAUAAACUUUGCCAAGCAUGUUUUGUGCUUGCAAUCGGUAUCUCGGCACGUGCCACCACUAUUUUUUCAGAAGAUUAUUUGAUUUCGCACCAUACAUUUUAAGAUGUUAGCUUCAUGUAGAUGAUACAAGAAAAAUAUAAACACACAUAAUUUUUUUCUCAGACUGCAUAUCGGCAUCUCAGUCUCCAAUGACCUAGGUACAUACAAAUCUACAAUGAAUCAUCCUCUUGACGAGUGAAUAGUCAACAACAUACAAAGAGAUGAAUCAAAAGCAAAAGAAAAAUUGUGAACCCAUCUAAACGACCAAAAGCCAGUGAAAAGGCAAUCAAAGUCAUUUGAAAUGAGCAAACUUGGUCCCUAAAGACAUGGGUAACGACUCGAUGCAACCGAGAAGAAGCAAAACUUGGUUCCUAAAGGCAUAGGUGGAUGCUCGACUUGACACAACCAAGCGAGACAAUUAGUUGUCAAUAAGACGUAGAAAUAAAUCAACACCACUAGCAGAAGACCAAAAGCAUCUCAAAAACCUCUAGAAACAGUACUAGUCCCUCUAGAAAAGGCAGAGGCUCAAGAUAACUAGCAAAAGCAGCCUCAAAAGCCAAAAUCAUUCUCAAAUGCAACUCUGAAAGGUCCUAAUAUGGCUAGAGGGGGUGAAUAGCCUAUUUAAAAAAAUCUACAAACUCACUAGAGCAAGAGGUUAGUAAAUAACAAAGCGAAGCUUUUUAUUCUAGCUCUAAUGGGGUGUUUGGAAGCCACCUAUUCAACAAUUCUAGUUGAUAUGAUCACUAGGCACACAAAAGCUAUGUCACUACAAGCUACACUAGUGAGCUAUACUCAAAAGGCAAAGUAAGUAACUAAACUAAUUACACUACUUUGGGUAAAUAAAGGAUAGCAUGAGAUAUUUAUACCGCCGUGUAGAGGGGAUGAACCAAUCACAAUAAUAUAAAGUCCAAUCACUGGGAGAAAUCCAAUGAACAAUCACAAUCGAGACACACAAUUUUCUCCCGAGGUUCACGUGCUUGCCGGCACGCUACGUCCCCAUUGUGUCGACCAAUACUUGGUGAUUCGGCGGCUAAGAGGUGUAGCAUGAACCUUGUCCUCACUAAGACACCGCAAGAACCAACCCACAAGUGAGGUAACUCAAUGACACGAGCAAUCCACUAGAGUUACCUUUCGGCUCUCCGCCGGGAAGGUACAAGACCCCUCACAAUCACUGGGAGAUGGUCACGAACAAUCACCAACCGUCUAGGUGGUGGCAAUCACCAAGAGUAACAAGAAAACCGCCACUAGAACGAUCCCCAAGUGCCACUAGAUGCAAGCACUCAAGCAAAUGCACUUGGAAUCACUCUCAAUCUCACAAAGAUGUUUAAUCUAUGAAGGAGAUGAGUGGGAGGUGUUUGCUUAGGCUCACAAGGAUGUCAAGUAUGCUAGAAUGCCAAGAGAGUGAGCCCCAAGCCGGCCAUAACUAUUUAUAAGUCCCUCAAACAAAUAGAGUCGUUGGCUCCUUCACUGGGCAAAAGUCGGGGCCACCAGACGCAUAACCAGUGACCACCGGACGCUCAACUGUGCGUCUGGUGCUUGGAAUAGAGCCACGUGUCAACUUUUUGAACCAGGCGCGUUGAUCUCUAACGGUCAAAACUGAAUCACCGGACGCGCUCAAGUUAGCACCAGACGCGUCCGGUGCCUACCGAUCUCGUACGCAGAGAGGUCUGCAAACACACGGGGUCACCAGACCCACACCACCGGACGCGCUCCUAAGCGUCCGGUCCCUUAUCCAGAGAGCACUGCAAACGCUCAGGAGCGUCUGGUGCUCUCAGUCAGAGACAUUCGUAGAAGACAGGCAGCACCAGACGCAUGAACAAGAGUUACCCUGUGUCCGGUGCUCAGCGUCCGGUGCUUAAUCCUAAUGGAGCCAAGCACGACAGCACACCGGACGCACAGGCUUAGCGUCCGGUGCCUCUGCGGCCAACGUCCGGUGAGUGUUUCUCCCGCGACUUCUCCAAACUUCCCACCGGUGUAAUAGAAAAUAUGCAUUUUAUUUUUUCAAAAAGCUCCGAAUCCCGUCUCGCAAGCUCGGUGGAAGGGAGAGAGGAACCCAAACCCCUCUCUACCCUUCAACCUCCACUUCCUUCUCAAAGUAUGCUAACACCACCAAGUGUACACCAUAAUGUGUAAGUGUGUUAGCAUUUUCACAAUCAUUUUCUUCGAAGAAGGUAAGUUAACUCACUAGGUUCUAAAUGCAUGCACAUGAACAAUGACACAUAGUGGCACUUGAUAACCGCUUAGCCAAAGAAUUCCCCUCUUUAUAGUACGACUAUCUAUCCUAAAUGUGAUCACACCCUCUAUGGUGUCUUGAUCACCAAAACCAAAACUCUAAGCAAUACCUUUGCCUUGAUCUCCAUAGGGUUUUGUUUUUCUUUUUCUUCUUUUCCAAGUUGAGCACUUGAUCAUCUUGUGGUCAUCACCGUUAUCACCAUGACCAUCUCUUGCUCCAUCACUUGGCAUGUACCAACAUCAUUAAGUCUACACACACUUAGUAUAGAGGUUAGUACUAGGAUUUCAUCAAUUAUCCAAAACCAAACUAGGGCUUUUGAACUCCCCCCGAACAAGUGCACUCCCCCACAUGAAUGCACACUCUCUGCAUAUGACAACUCUAUGUGUAACCAUUAUCCCCUUUCUUGGCACAUGGAUACAUCAAGCUAAACAAAACUUCAAGUCUCCCUCAAAAUAUUCUUUGAAAGGCGCUAGGAUGUAGACGAGAGAGAUAUAGGAGUAGGUCAUCAAGAAUGAGAAGAUACUCAAAGUGAUACUACCACUUGAGUAUAACAAUAAAUCCAUAUGCUAGCAAAUGCUCAAAACGAUCACAUGGCACAAACCAUGACUAGCAAAGCAUUUUGAGCAAAAUUUAGGCUUCAAAAAAGGUUCACCACUAAAAUAGAACCAAGAAUGUAUAGAGCAAGACUAACAACAAGUGUUAAACAUGAUCAAACAAGGUGAUGUAGCCUUAUACAAAGAUCACUGCAAACACCCACAUAUUAAUCCAAGCCUUUUUUUAUUCUUAAUUCAACUUCUUACAACCAAGUGUUUACUUCUCUUUGGCAAACACAUGAAGCAAGUAAGUGAUCAUAUUGGAUAUAACGCAAAGCAACAAAUUCUUAACAAUUCUUGGAUUUUUUUAGAUUUGUCAUUAGAACUUGUUAGAUCAUAAGUUCACCAGAUCUUCAUCAAUUUCAUGCACAAGUUGUUUCUUUGCGACAAAAAAGAACUUAUGUUCUCCUGAGGGUUAAUCAUGGGCUAAACAUUUGCAAUGACAUUUGGAUAAGCUCUAGCACACCUAGCAUAAGCAUGCCAACAUAAGUGCUCAAACAAGCCGACAGAGGCCAACCCCAUGCAUGACUCUCACCAAAAUUAACCACCUCAUUGAUUAUUCUAGAUAGAAUAAUGCUGAAAUAACUUUCUACCUUCAAAUCUCAUCACCCUUGUACAACAUACUACCAAAUCUAGUGAUAGUAGAUUAGGCUAGUUGUCGGUGGUUGAUUCUAUAGACGACACUAUAUUAACUUAGGUACUUCCAAAAAAUACCAUGACCAUUUUAUAAAUACUAGAACUCAUGUGGAGUAAAAUGCAUCAUGGGUCCUUUUGUUGGCUUCAAACUUCAUCCACAGCUCAGGACCCUUGAGAAAGGUUCCCCCAUCUCACAUGUAGAAAACAUAUUGAAAAUUCAUUUAGCACAGGAUAAGAGAGACUUGGCGUGUGGCUCAACUCUUAUGUGAGUGUAAGGUGCAAGAAAAUAAACAUAAUAUUCAUGCCUGGUAUGUCUUUCUUGGACAUAGUUAUGAUUAAGUAUAACAUACUACUAUAAGUAUCUAGGGCCCAUGUAGUGGAUACUCAUACUCCCUCCGUCUUGUAGUAUAAUGUAUUAUAGCAUUCAAAAUUUCUCUUCAAAUAUAGUGUAUUUUGGAGGACAAAACUCAGUUUUGCAUUAAAUAUUUUUUAUUUAUCAACCAAUUAUCAUUAAUCAUGUAAAAUGAGGGUACAUGUGUCUUUUAUAUCCUCUCUUAACUUAUCUUAAAAUUCCUAGAAUGCAAUAUAUUAUAGGACAGAGAGAGUAUAUAACAUGGAGGUAGCACAAAACAAUAGAAAAGACAAGAAUCUUUUAAGGCAAAAAACACAUUUGGAUCAAAACUUUAUUACACUAGCUUGAAGUUUUUGUUAAGAUGUCGACCCGGUUUUUAAUUGAUUAAAGUCAUAUCCUUAGUAGCCCCAUCACGAGAAUAAAAAAGUUCUCACCAAAUGUCUGAUGCUAUUUCAUCGCAAAGUCGAAGAACACAUACCCAACAUAGGAUCGUUGGCUCUUAGAUUAUUUUGUAUCAAUGUGUUUUGUAAUUUCCGAUAUUGUCAUAUCUUAGACCUAGAGAUGACAAAACAAAUCAUGAAAAAUUAAUCAGCUCAUUGAUUAUUUUUGACAGAAUAACGUCGAAAUAACUUUCUACCUUCAAAUCUCAUCACCCUUAUACAACAUACUACCAAAUCUACCGAUAGCAAAUUAGGCUAGUUGUUGGUGGUUGAUUUCAUAUAUGAUACUAUAUUAAUUUAGGUACUUCCAAAAAUACCAUGUUGGCUCCAAACUUCAUCCACAACCCUCGAGAAAGGUUUCUCAAGUAGAAAUCACAUUGGAAAUUUCAUUUAGCAUAAGAUGAGAGAAACUUGGUGUGUGGCUCAAGCAUAAGAUUCAUGCUUAGUAUGACUUUCUUGGACAUAGGUAUGAUUAAGUAUAACAUAUUGCUAUAGGUACCUAGGGCCCAUGUAUCGAAUACUCAUAUAUAUCACGGAGGUAGCAUAAAAAAGAAAAAAAACAAGGACUUUUUUAAUGCAAAAAACAUAUUCGGAACAAAACUUUAUUACAAUCGCUUGAAGAUUUUGUUAAGACGUUGGCCCUAUUUGCAAUUGAUUAAAAUUGAAUUCUGAGUAGCCCCAUAACGAAAAUUGAAAAAAAAAAAUCUCGUCAAUGCCAGAUGCUAUUACAUCACACAGUGGAAGAAUGCGUAUCCAAACAGGUCCUGGCUCUAUGAUUAUCUAGAGUUGGGGUACCUUGCAAUUUCCAAUAUUGUCGUAUCUUAAGGCUAGAAACUACCAAAUUAAAUAAAAAAAAAAUUAACCACCUCAUUGAUUAUUUAAGAUAAAAUAACGCCGAAAUAACUUCCUACCUUCAAAUCUCAUCACUCUUCUACAAUUUACUACCAAAUCACCCGAUAGCAUGUUAGGCUAAUUGUCGGGUAGUUAAUUUUACAGAUGAUGAUACCAUAUUAACUUAGGUACUUUCCAAAAAUACCAAGAUCAUUCUAGAUAGCAACACUAAAAAAACUCACGCUGAGUAAAAUGCACUAUCGGUUCACUCCAAACUUCAUCCACAACUCGAGUCUCGAGAAAAAGUUCCUCAAUCUCACAUGAAGAAAACAUGCUAGAAAUUUGAUUUUUUUUUAAUUUAGCAACAUGAAGAGACAAACCAAACCAAACCAGGGACUCACCUGCAAAUACGGCGGGAACCAGUGGUGCAAUCUGGAAAACCGUUGGCCGGUAUUGGUAAAGGCCCCGAUAAAUGUCACCUCCCCUCCUCCUGGAGAGGGAUAGACUGCGUCCCGUCUUCGUUCCUUCCGCCCCCCCCUUCCCCUCCUCAUAAGGGGCGAGGCCGCGGCCGCGGAGGAGGCUUUACGAACAAACGAGCCAUAGUCCCCAAAAGCCAACACACACACACAAACCCAGGCAGGCGAUAGCGAGCGCGCCCUCGCCCGCGCCCGCGCCCGCGCCAAGGCCACGACGCGAGGUGUGGAGCCCCCAAUCCCGGAAGCUUCCGGGGCCGCGCGCAGGGGGAGGGGGGAGCUCACCGCCGGUGACCGAGCCCUCGCCGCCGGCGGAUCUCCCGAUCUGAGGGCGCCGCUAUUCAAUUCCCCGCAGGUACGCGCCCUGAUCCGCGGCCGCUUUCGAUCCGGCCCGGUUCCCCCGCGCCAAUUCGCGCCCUUCCUCCCAUUGCUGCUGCUGCUGCCGCCUGAUUCCGACCUUGGCUGCCUCUGUGAUUAGGGUUUUGCGGCGCCGGCGACGGAGAUGAGCGUGGAGAGCCCCGGGGAGCUAGGGUUCUGAAGCGCACCGUGGGGCACAGCGUGGCGGACGACGGCGGGCCCCGGCAGCCUCCUAGGUUUUCCAUGGGAGAUGGGGGAGUCGCGUGCGCCGUCCGCGCAGUCGAGGGCUUCCGUGCCGGCGCCCUCGUGAGGAGAGGAGGAGCGGGAGAAGCGAUGCCGGACAAGGGGGAGAGGGCUCAGGCUCAUGGCCACCACCACCACCACCGGAAGAACCAGCAGUCGACGACAGCUGCUGACCUGGAGGAGGGUGAGCUGCUCAAUGGGGAGGCCGACACCAAUGGGUUGCCUGAGAGGAGCAUGCCACCUAAGAAGUGGAGGAAGGUCCUGGCAGCCUCUGCAGCAGCUGCUGCCGAGGUGGAGCCUGGGGAGAUCGUGAGUACGAAGCAAGCAGUGCCAUUGAAGAAGGCAAGGAGGAACGGGGAUGUUGAGAAGGUAGAGCUGCUGCCGGAGAGGCAGAGGAAGGAGAAGUCUUCUGGGAAGAGCACCAGGAAGCCUAUCAAGGAUGAAGUGGAGCCAGGGGAGAUUGCACCGUCUGAAAAAAGGCGGGAUGCUAAGUCCCAGCAGGCUGAUGAUAAUGGCAGGAGGCCAGGUUCAUCUGCCCAGAAAGGCUCCUUGCGGGAUUCUGAUGAAGAGCCUGGUGAAAUUAAGCCAGAGAGCAGCAUCAGUGGCAGUGCAAGGAAGAACCGGCCAACGGAGCCUCAGAGCAUUAACCACAAGCACCACGCUGACACCUCUGAUCAGUCAGGAUCAAAAAGUCGCAGGAAGGGAGAAGGGAAGAGUUUAUCUGCCUCCAGACAUUUGUCUGGGAGAAAUCGUGAGGUCUCGCCACCGACACGGGAUCGGCGUGAUAGGCACGAGAGGAGCCCAGGCAUCUUGGGCCGUUUUCCUCAUGAUCGCUUUCGUCAUGACAGGUAUGACAGGAGCCCGAGCCGCUUGGAGCGUUCCCCGCACCGGGAGCGUGGUCGCCAGUACGAUAGCAGGGACCGCAGUCCAUUUAUUUCACCUCGACAUAGACCUCGUCAUCCCCAUUUGAGGGAUAACACACCAAGUCGUGUUGAGAAUUCCCCUCGUGGGAGGGUCCAGCAUGAGGAUGUCAGAGACCGUAGCCCAUUUCGUCAUGACAAAUCGCCUUCUGAACGUUGUCGGCCUACUGACACUCACGAAGCAAGCAAGAAGAGCAGAAGUGGCAGCAGCUCAGAAAAGUCACAGCACAAAAGCAAAUCAGCAAAGCAAUCUUCAAAGACCAAGAGUGGUAGCAAUGGGAAGAAUGAGGAGAAAAUCUCCAAAGAAAAGCCCACUGAAAGCAGUCAGUACACUGAACUGCCACCACCACCUCCACUACCACCGCCACCACCUCCGCCUCCGCCACCUCCGCCUCUGCCACCUGCGGUGCCGCCUCCCCUGCCUCCAUCACCAGAUCCUGAGCCUACUGGAGUUCUAGCUGAAGAUAUGAUAGAAGACAUGGAUAUCUGUGACACUCCACCUCACACUAGUGGAGCACCUGAACCCACCGAACCAAUUUGUGAUAUAGGGAGGUGGUUUUACCUUGAUCACUUUGGUAUCGAGCAAGGACCUUCCAAGCUUGCUGAGUUGAAGAAGCUGGUGGAAGAUGGAUAUCUUCUUUCUGAUCAUCUGAUAAAACAUGCUGAUAGCAACCGAUGGGUGACCGUAGAGAAUGCAGCUUCACCACUGGUGCCAUCUGAUUUCCCCUCUUUAUAUUCGGACACAUCAACACAGAUGGUUAACCCACCAGAAGCCCCAGGAAAUUUGCUCGAUGAAGCUCUAGAGGAAGCUUCUAACUUGGCAUCAGGUGCUGAGGAUAAACAAAUGGAUGAAGCUUCUGCAGAAGAUAGUGAGGAAUUCUACAUUGAUGAUAGGGUUGAAGCACUGAUGGAUGGAUCGAUUUUGGUCCAUGGCCAGGAGCUGGAGAUCAUUGGAGGUAAAACUAUUUCACUUUGCUAUAUUUGAAGUUCCACGUUUUUGCUGUGGGCUGGGCUGGACUUGGGUUCUCCCUUUUUUUUUUUGGUUAUAUCCUUUUGGAGUUGGCUGCGAAGCCCUUGGCUUUGGUUUCUUGUGGGUGUGGAGGCAAUAAACACGCAUCCCAUCAUGACUGCAGUUUGCACCUGAGAGCCGAUGAGGUGUUAUAUGGUGUCUAUUUGCUUGGGUUUGGGCCGUUUGGGCCCAUAAGCUUUGCAUUAUUAUUGGUCUUGUUUGGAUACAGUUUUCUGUUGCAAAAAAUCUAAUGGCCCUGACCUUGGUUUUUAUAGGAAUUUUUGUUGUUUCAACUGUUUUGCAUCUGCACCCCCGGGAACAUUUUUUUGAUCUGACUACCAUAAAAAGUCGCAGUUUUUUACAUAUAUAUCCUUCUAAAGCUCUGUAUUUGAUUUUUUGUGUAAUUGUAUCAGAUCUAUUCAUACCAUGUUUGAAUGUAGAUCUCUAAUCUGCCUUGUAAAAUCAGGAUUGUUGGUGUCAGGUUUAAUUGGGCAAUUAAUACUUUAUCUCUAUUUUUUUUGGGGGGGGGGGGGUUGGGGGGGGGGGGGUAAAUGCAAAUACAGAACUUCCCAGGUCAUGUUAAAGAUCUGCUAUUUUUUUCUUUUAUUUGUUUUGAAUAAAUUGCACUGUACCUUUGUGAACUUGCACUGUACUUCAUCCUGCAUUUUACUUUCCCAGCAGCCUGAAGGCCUGAACUUGCACAAAUUUAUGGUGUUAAACCUCAUGGCUGGACUAAUGUUGUAGUAUUUUGCCAUUUGGAAAUUGCAGAGCUUUUAGGCGCAGAUUUUCAGCCUGCUGAUUGGCAAAGUUGGAGUCACCCUGAAGGUAUUGUACCAGUUCAAAAUUUAUUUGGCCUUAGGAUUUGCACUGUUCCUUGUCCAAUUUUUGGGAAUGGCUAUAUGUUUUCUUCGUUUUAUAGAUGGUAUCCAACUUUAAGAUGCUGACUCUGUAUUCUGCUUUUCGUAUUUUAUCAUCUGCUUUUGAGCCUACAAUUCUUCAGAAAAACAUAUUUAAAAUUGUUUCAUCAAAAACUACAGAAGUUCUUCUCUUCUUGUAGUUUUUUUCAUGAUGCCACCAUAUAAUUCUUUGGUUGCCUUUGUUCUGUUAUCCCCGGAAUUUGUGAUUUACAUAUUAUUAUUAUGUCAGAUUUUACUAGGUUCCAUGUGCACACUGAAGGAGAUGAUGGAAUCAAUGGAGGCACGGAAUUCUUAGAAAACAGAGCAACAGAUGCUUAUGGCCUUGUUUCUGUGGAGAAGAACAACUUUCAUCAUUAUGUUGAGUCUAGCGAAUGGUUUUCUGGGAGAUGGUCUUGCAAAGGUGGUGACUGGAUGAGAAAUGACGAAUUGAGCCAAGAUACUCCAUUCAGAAAAAAACUUGUUCUCAAUGAAGGGUAUCCUCUGUGUCAAAUGCCAAAAGGUAGCUAUGAGGAUCCACGCAGGCCCUGCAAGGAUGAGUUGUACUACCCUGUACGUGCUAAAAAGCAUGACCUGCCAUUGUGGGCAUUCUCAUCGACCGAAGAAGAUACUGAUAGUGUUAAUGACACCACUAAAAGUGGUGUUGUACCCGGGAGGCCAGGUCAGACCAGACAGCCUCCUAGGGGAGUGAAGGGCAUGAUGCUUCCAGUGGUUAGGAUAAAUUCUCGUGUUGUCAAAGACCAAUCAUCUGUUGAACCCCGUACAAAACCUAGAGGAACUGAUCGACCACUGUCGAGAUCUUCACGCUCCCAUUCAAUUGGGGCCGAGAGAAGUUCUGUCCAUGAAGGUUCAACGCACAGGAAGCACCAUGACCAUGAUUCACAAAGUUUGCACAAGUCCAAGUCUGUUCCAAACAUUCCAAAGGACCGUGUAUGCACUGUUGAUGAGCUAUCAGUUAAUCGGGGUGACUGGUACUACCUUGAUGGCACUGGGCAUGAGCAUGGUCCAUUUUCUUAUUCCGAAUUGCAAGAAUUAGUUAAAAAGGGCACUAUCAUUGAACAAAGUAGUGUGUUCCGUAAGAUUGAUAACACAUGGUUUCCAGUUCUGAAGGAUUUAAAACCUGGAAGCUCUGUUCCCAGUGCAGCAAGAAGCUCAAAUUCUACUGCUGCUCUUAUGCACCCAGACCAAUAUAAUUUUGGUGUGAACCAAGGAUCAGGUAGCUUCCAUGAGUUGCACCCCCAAUUUGUGGGUUAUACACGUGGUAAAUUACAUGAACUAGUCAUGAAAUAUUUCAAGAGCAGGGAACUUACUUUAGCUAUAAAUGAGGUCUUGGACCCAUGGAUUUCAGCAAAACAACCAAAAAAAGAGUUUGAAGCAUACUUUUCUCACAAUUCAGCAUCUAGGAAUUUCCUGCCAGGUACUGUGGUCAUGCCUUACACGACAUCUUACUUACUUUCAGCUCUUAAAUUUUAACUUUCAGCUAAUCUUAAUGCAUUUGAAAUCUUGAACUGUCAAAUUUGUUUCACUCUCACAUAUUCCUUCUUGCUAAAUACUGAACGAAAUUUGUGGACAUGUGUAACAUUUCCUUUUCUUUUGUGAGCCUUACAGAAGAUGGUGGGUCUGCAAAAAGGGCCAAGUUGCUACCUGAUCAGAGUGAUGAAGAUAUUCAUUUGUCAGAAGACAUUCUUGCCAGUCGGAAGGAGGACAUCUGUUUUGAAGAGUUAUGUGAUGGAGCAUCAUCUUCUGUUGAUAAUGAUUCUGUGAAUCCCAGAGCAGGAAAUGAAAGCUGGGGUUUACUAAACGGCCAUGUGUUAGCAAGAAUCUUCCAUUUUAUGAGGGCAGAUGUGAAAUCACUUAUUUCUUCUGCAGCUACCUGUAGGAGCUGGAAUGCUGCCGCGAAGUAUUACAGGAACAUGUGUAGAUUCAUUGAUCUGUCUUCUGUUGGCCCUCUUUGCACUGAUUCUGUGUUUUGUGAUAUUAUGGUAUGUGUCUUGCCUAUCUGUUUGAACUCUUGAGAAAUUACUUCUGUCAUCUCCUAACUCUGGACUCACAAUCAUUCAUCUUCCUUUCAGGCUGGUUAUGAGAAGCAAAAUAUUAGGACUCUUAUUUUAGCUGGUUGUUCGAAUCUUAGUUCACAUGCCCUUGGCAGAGUACUUGAGCAGCUUCCACAAAUAUCUUAUGUUCACAUUCAAGGUUGCGGUCAUCUAGGGGAUCUGAAAAGUAAAUUUCAGCAUGUAAAAUGGAUCAGGAGCUCAUUGAAUCCAGAGGAGUCAUAUCAGAAAAUGAAAACCUUGAAGCAGAUAGGUGAUGGGAACAACUACACAUCCAAAGUUGCAAGGAACUUCACCAGUCAGCUGGAUGGUUCUGAUGAGCUUGAUGGUUAUUUUGCUGAUAUUUCAAAUAGAGAGAAUGCUAACCUUUCAUUUGGACAAGGUUUCUAUAAACGAUCAAAAUUGCUUGAUGCUAGAAAGUCCUCUGCGGUUUUGUCAAGGGAUGCAGAAAUGAGGCGUUUGAUGCAGAGACAGGCAGAGAACAGUUAUAGGAAGAUGGAAGAGUUUGUCAUAAACAGACUGAGAGAAAUUAUGAGGAGUAACAGAUUUGAUUUUUUCAUUCCAAAGGUACCAUCACUAUUUGGUAAUUAUUUGGAUGAGUCCUCUUGAUGAUCUAAUACGGUGUACUAAUACUUCACACCCAUGUCUGUUCCAUUUUACAGGUUGCCAAGAUCGAAGGUAGGUUGAAAAAUGGGUAUUAUGCUCGCCAUGGCUUUCGUACCAUCAAGCAUGACAUCCGUACCAUGUGCCAAGAUGCAUUGAGGUAAAAAUGACCUAGUCUAGCCUAGUUGAAGAUUUCUAGAAGUUUAUGUGAUUGUUGUAUUUCUAACAUUUCCUAUUCUACCUCAGAUAUAAAGAUGGCAAUGAUUCGGGAGAUAUAAAGCAAAUUGUUGUCUCCUUCAUACAGCUAGCAAAGAGACUAGGGAACCCAAGGCACAUUUCUGAGAGAAAUGGAGCAGCAGCCCAUGACAGUCUGGACAUUAGUCAAUAUUCAUUUGAUACUAAACUCAAAAAGAAGCAAAACAAAACAAGAGGAGCAAAUUUGGUGGCUGCUGGAGCAGAUAAUUCAUCUCGUGCAUUUGACCUUGAAAUCAAAAGGAGCCUGUCUAAAUUAAAGAAAAAGGAUGUCUACUCUGGUAGUGAAACAUCUGAUGAUGAUGAUGUCUACUCUGAAGGUGAUGAAACUGAGAGCGAAACUACCGUUUCUGAUACCGAGAGUGACCUUGAUGUAAAUUCUGGAGCCUGGGACUUAAAAGGAAACGGUCUAAAGUUAAUUGAACCUGGGGAAUCUGUGACCGAUGAUCGUAUAUUGGGUGCCCGCAUGACAAAGGCCAGCCUUGUUCCACCAGUUACUAGGAAGUAUGAAGUUAUUGAGGAGUACCUUAUUGUAGCAGAUGUGGAGGAAGUACAACGAAAAAUGAGAGUUGCUUUACCUGAUGACUAUUCUGAGAAGUUGCUGUCACAGAAGAAUGGCACUGAAAAUUUGGAGCUUCCAGAGGUUAAGGAUUAUCAACCCCGAAAAGUAGCAGGAGAUGAAAUUCUUGAGCAAGAAGUAUAUGGCAUAGAUCCAUACACACACAAUCUACUGAGUGACAUCAUGCCUGCUGAUCUUGAGUUGUCACCUACUGACAAGCAUAUCUUUAUCGAGGAGGUAAUUGGCGCUAGGUUACACACCCCUCUCUCUUUCUGUUCAAGCUUUGAACUUACCCAAAAUAUUUUCAAUGCAGUUGCUUCUGAAUACAUUGAAUAAGCAAGUUAAGCGUUUCACUGGUUCGGGAAAUACCCCUAUGACUUAUAACCUUAGGCCUGUCAUUGAAGAAAUCCAAAGGUCUGCGGAGGAUAAUGGUGACAGACGAACUUCAAAGAUGUGCUUGGGGAUGCUAAAGACCAUGAGAAAUCGAUCUGAUCAGAACUUUGUCGCUUAUAGAAAGGCAAGCCUUCAGCAACCUAUAUUAACUUAGGGUCAUUUCUUGUGUCUUUUUGACACGUUUGGUGCAUCUUUUCCAGGGUCUUGGUGUUGUUUGCAACAAAAAAGGUGGAUUUGGUGUAGAUGACUUUGUUGUCGAGUUCUUUGGGGAGGUAUGCCUUAGUUUUUAAUAUUCAUCCAUUCUUAUCGAGGGGCAGUAGUAUAGCCAUGAAUAUGUCGAUUUGUAAACAUUGCAGGUUUACCCUUCUUGGAGAUGGUAUGAAAAGCAAGAUGGUAUUAAACAUAUACAAAACAACAGCGAAGAUCAAGCUCCUGAGUUUUACAACAUUAUGUUAGAAAGGCCAAAGGUUGUGUUCAGUCUCUGGUUAAUGAGAUCUAACCUGUAACUGGUGUCAUUUCAAUUCAUGGUCUUUUUCAUCCUAUUAACCUUUUACUUCUGUCAUGAUGGAAGGGAGACCGAGAUGGAUAUGACUUGGUUUUUGUUGAUGCGAUGCACAAGGCCAACUAUGCGAGUAGAAUCUGCCACUCCUGCAACCCUAACUGCGAAGCAAAGUAAGCUCAUUUUGAGCUUCAGAUUUCUACCUUGUGAAUGUUAACUGUUCCAUUGCUUCUGUGGUUAUAUAAUAUUAUUCUUUGAUUAUUGGUCAGAAUUUAUAUGCAAAUGGGGUGUUUUUUAGAGGGAGUACCCCCCUCCCUCCUUUGGGUCUUAAUGAAAUGGCACACAGCUGUCCUGCAUUGUUCGAGAAAAAAAAAGAAUUUAUAUGCAUGAUGAUGCAAAAACUGGCAUGAAAGCUUAUGCAAGCUUGUCUGUUAACAAUUGCGAUAGAUGUAGCGCUCUGCUUUACUUCCAAAAUUUGCACUGGUCUGCUGUUACUCUAAUAAAUCCUUUUUUUCCUGGAAUUCUGCUGUGGGUUUAGAUUAUUAUGUACUCUUUCAAGAUACAUGACAUUCCAUAAAUAAUGUUUAUUAUAUUUUGCGGGUCUGGAAAUCAGUAUGACUGAGCAUUGAGCAAUAUAGUGUAGCUGUUCUCGCAUAUCCAAGCUUCAUUCUAUUUGUUGGAUCACAGUGCUAUUCUGAGUUGGGAUUUAUGUAUCAAGUUUCUUUGACAAACUUCAGUACGCAUUUGCUUGGUUAUUAUGCUUGUGCAUUUCUAUGCUAAUUAAAUUGAUACUCAACCAUUGAUAAUUUGAAUACAUGUAUGUGCUACAAUGUUUGCAUGGCUCAAAAUGCUUGGACUUUUUUCCUCUCUCCCUAAGGCUAAUGUCCACUAUUUAUGCUUCUUGAUUUUUUUUUUAAAUAGAGUGACAGCAGUGGAUGGUAAAUACCAGAUUGGAGUUUACACACUUCGACCAAUUGCAGAAGGCGAGGAAAUCACUUUUGAUUACAAUUCUGUAACUGAGGUGAGCACAUUUCUGGUUUCUUUAUGAAAUCAUGUAUUAUAUUGCAAUGUUUGAUGUCUAUAUACAUAUUUAUUUUGCUAGAGCAAAGAAGAACAUGAAGCAUCAGUCUGCCUCUGUGGAAGUCAAGUAUGCCGCGGCAGCUAUUUGAAUUUUUCUGGUGAAGGAGCCUUUGAGAAGGUGAACUUUUGGAAGUUUGCUGGUGGAUAGUUUGGAAGGGAUGCCUGUAGUGCCAAUAUUUAUUGAUUAUUUGCAUGAUUCUGACAUGCUCACAUCUACUUAUGUCGUUGUGAAUCAGGUAUUAAUGGAAUUCCAUGGUGUGCUCGAUAGGCAUAGCCUGCUGCUACAGGCUUGCGAAACAGACUCUGUCUCUCAACAAGACUUAAUUGACUUGGGUAGAGCUGGUCUUGGUACCUGUUUGCUUGCUGGUUUGCCUGGAUGGCUUGUUGCUUACACGGCUAACCUGGUAAUUGUAAUAGCUGUCUUUUGUUCAGUUUCUGUUCUGAUGUUGUAACCAUUUUAGAUUGGUCCUUAUAUCAACUUUUGUUGUAAAAGGUGCGGUUUAUAUACCUUGAGAGGCAGAAACUUCCUGAUGAGAUCUUAAGGCACAAUGUGGAUGAGAAGCGCCAGUUCCUUAUAGAAAUAAACAUGGACUCUGAGAAGAAUGAUGCUGAGGUUCAGGUAAAUUAGCUGAUGGCUUGGUCAGGCCUCCUAGUUCUCUGCCCCCUCCCUUCUUAUUUGGCUGAAUUUGACCUAAUUAUGUUGCCACGCUCAGGCAGAGGGAGUAUUAAAUUCAAGAUUACAGCAAAUAGUGCAUACACUUGACAAGGUGAAUAUUUAUUUGUGUUCAAUCUUGGGCUUGUUUGAUGAUACCUAGCUACCGUACAUAUUGUAUCAUUGCUUAUCCUUAUUGGCUUCUCUACUAACUCUUCAGGUGAGAUAUGUUAUGAGAUGCGUAUUUGGAGACCCAAAGAAUGCUCCUCCUCCUCUGGUAAGGUUGUCUGGGAAAAGUCUGGUAUCUGCCAUCUGGAAAGGGGACAGUUCGAUAGUUGCUGAACUCCUUCAGUCGAUGGAACCUCAUGUUGAAGAAGAGGUACUUAGUGAUCUGAAGGUCAAAAUCCGUGCUCAUGACCCGCCAGACUCUGAAGAUAUUGAGGGAGGCAUCCGGAAUUCUCUCUUGUGGUAAGUUUGGGACCUGAUCAGUAUUUUGCAAUGACUUCUCCCCUACAAUUACUUGUCUGUGGAAUCUGAUCCUCCUUUUGUACAGGUUGCGUGAUGAAUUGCGAACUCUUCCAUGCACUUACAAGUGCCGUCAUGAUGCUGCUGCAGAUUUGAUUCAUUUGUAUGCGUAUACAAAGUGCUUCUUCCGUGUCCGGGUAAGUGAAAGCUUAUUACUUACUGAGAAAAUGAUGGUUGUGGUAUUGCCAUCUGUUUUUUUUUAGAGCUCACUCAGGUAUGGCUGCGUGCAGGAUUACAAGACAGUAAAAUCCCCACCAGUUCAUAUCAGUCCGCUUGACUUAGGCCCCAAAUAUGCUGAUAAAUUGGGACCAGGCUUUCAGGAGUACUGCAAGACAUACCCAGAAAAUUAUUGCUUAGCCCAGCUUAUCUAUUGGUAUAGUCAGAAUUCAGAACCUGAAUCUAGAUUGACAAGAGCUAGAAAAGGUUGCAUGUCAUUGCCAGAUGUCUCGUCCUUCUAUGUGAAGUCUGCUAAGCCAUCGCAAGAGCGAGUUUAUGGAAACAGAACUGUGAGAUUCAUGUUAUCGCGCAUGGUAAGUGCUAUUUUGUGAGUGCUUGGGGUUACCAGAUUGCAAAAAUCAUGUGCUUAACUCAUUUUGGAAUGGGAGGUGGAGAAAGCAAAACUCCAAAAGAACUAAGUAAUGGCAGUUUAACUGUUUUGCACACUCAUUAUUUUGUUCUAGAAAAGUUGGAUCAUGAAACAAUUUGGUGCUGUAGACCCCAUAUACCAUAUAUCAGACAUCAUUACCUACUGCUACCAUUAUUUUUCUGAAUCAUUUUGUGCUACUUGUCAUAACUUUAUGCACAUGGAAUGCUUUUGCAUGGAUAAAAAAGUGAUGUUUAAUCGGUCUUAUUGUCCUUUAUCUUCUAGAAGAAAAUAUUAAGUUUUCUUGCCAGCUUUUUUUUCUCAAUUUCUUUCCCAAACUGUUUACUUAGUGUAACUUGGCAUAUUGUCAGUACUAUACGGAAGACAUUUAUGCCUAUUGACUGCUAAUAGAUCCUAUCUGUGAUGUAGCAUGCGUGCUUCUUUUACUUUAUAUCCCAGUGAUCACUGUCUUGCCUAUAAAAUGUUGGAAAUAUGAAGACUGGCAUCAUCUUACGAAUUGUUUUCCCUUGACUAUUUGGUUCCGGUACAUCUUAGUUAAUGAUGUUUUGGUGGUUGAUUACAGGAAAAACAGGCACAGAGACCAUGGCCAAAGGAUAGGAUAUGGGUGUUCAAGAGUGAUCCAAGAUUCUUUGGUAGUCCAAUGAUGGACGCCGUGUUGAAUAAUUCCCCGCUUGACAAGGAGAUGGUGCAUUGGCUCAAGACGAGACCAAACGUUUUCCUAGGCUAGUAAAAAAGGAUUGUAGGCAGAUAAGAUGGUUUUGGUUGUUUCUCCCUUUUGGAGAUUUUAGUCUACAGGAUUCUUUUUCCGACUCACACCUUGGCUACCUGAUCAUGGGGAGUUUAGCUUUUAGAUAGCAGGGUAACAGUCUCACCACCCCCCAUCUGUACAUUCUCCUCUCCCUACCUUCCUUGUAGAAAUGUAUCUGGUUAAUAACUGAUAGAUUCGUCAUUGAUUUAAUGUAGUGAAUUUUCCCCAUAGGAAUCCUCCCUCUCUUUUGUUUCAUGUAAAUGCAGAACAAUUUCAAUCUUGAAUUCAGUAAUGAGUUACAGGCAUGUUGCAUUUCUAUGGUUCAGUUGGGCUGUUUCAGUCAAUAAAAUGGUUUGCAUGAGAUUUGAUGGUUGAAACUGUACAUGAGUUGUGUUGCGAAUGUCAAUUUGAAUCAUGAUGCUAUAUUUUUGUUUUACACAGGUGGUGAUGGAAAUGGUUGAAAUUGUACAUGAGUUGUGUUGUACAUGUCAAUUUGAAGCAUGAUGUAUUUUUGUUUUACGCAGGUGGUAGGUGGUGAUGGGAUUUGCGCCCACUUUGUGUUGUGCAAGUGAAAUUGCAAACAGAAAGCUGCAAGGUGUAGAACAAAAUUGUAUGACCGGCCUUCUCAUUUGCUCUCAUGCGUAUUUUCUGUCUGUUGGCUAUUGCAAUUGAGAUUGUAUGAAACCGUAGCAAGCUUAGGCUGGGUCUGGUCAUGUUUGUCUUAUGUCAUCGGCAAUGUUUGUAACUUGCAUGAUCUGUGCUGUUUUCGUGUUGCAUGAUCUGUGCUGUUUUUGUGUUGCAUGAUCUGUGCUUUUUUUUUGUCUUUUUUUGCUGAUGUUUUUCUUUUGACAACUGUGUUGAUGGGUUGGUGUGUGUUUAUAAGGGCAUGUACAAUCCUGUCUAUAAAUUUUUUAAAUCCGUGCACAGACAGCUAAAUAGGUAACUCAUACAAUGAAUUGUCUAUUUCAUGCUUGCAUAUGGUCAUGAUCAAGUAUGAAUAUGAUCCUUGUACACCAGUGUGUUGCUAGUUGGUACAAAACAAAUCAAGCAUAAUAAUUAAGUUAAAUAUGAUUAUAAUAUUUUUAAACUACUAAUCUGGCAAUAUUCAAUGUGUAACAUAUGUUUUAUCACUUCUAAAAUAUAGUUUGAUCAAAAGGAAUCUAAAUAAAUUUGAAUUAUGGUUUUUGGAUUUGAUUUCAUUUUUAAAUUGAUAUUAUAAGGAUGAACCUAUUUGCACGUUCUUCAGAUAAGGAAAGACUCACGGUCAUAGCAUGCACACAGGAUCGAUGCUCGCAGGUCGGCUUCUCGGAGCACGGGCCGGAGGUGUCUACUCGUGAGACGACGGCCUUGCCUCGGCUGUUGCAUGUGAAGGGGCCUUUUGCAAAUAUUUUGUUAUGCAGAGGACUCACUGAACAGCGUUGUAUAUGCUCUAAGGAUUUUUCUUUUUCUUUUUAAUGCAAAGAAAUACAACUCUUCGCUAGUUCUGAAAAAACAAGAUUGUAUGCUGUUGUAUAAACUACUAUAUCCGUUUCAAAUUAUAGGUGGUUUUAAUUUUAGAUACAUAUUUUUUGUUAUAAGCUAACAUAUGUUAUGUCUAGAUAUAUUGUAAAAAUUAUAGAUCUCUCAAAAAGUCAAAACGAUUUACAUUUUAAAACAAAGAGACUAUAACACUUUUUUUUUGCUUGUGGGUAAUGUAUGCAUUCGGUUCCACGUGAGUCUUGCCUAGCCUAACCUCACGACAAGGCUCACCUUAGGCCUUGGUGAAAAUUUUUAGUUUUACUUAAUGUAGCACUUUUGUUUGUAUUUGAUAAUUAUUGUUUAACUAUGGACUAACUAGGUUUAAAAGAUUUGUCUCGAAAAUUACAGACGAAUUAUGCAAUUAGUUAUUUUUUAUUUAUAUUUAAUAUUCUAUACAUGUGCCGCAAGAUUUGAUGUGACGUGGAAUCUUGAAUCUAUUUGGAACUAAAUCAGGCCUUAUUAGAAGGCAAAAAGCUUGCCACUGUAUGUUAACAGCUUGCUUCAUAAACCGUUCUUCCGUCGGUCAUCUUACUAAGCAAGGUGAGACAAGGGGCUUAUCCAUGAACCAAACAUGUUUGAUGUGUCCAUGUGUUACAAUGUUUGCUGUAAUCUAGUGCUCAUGAAAUGAUUUUAUCCUUCUAUAUAAGUAUGUGUCUGAGAAGUUGGUUACUAGUAUUUAGUGCAAACUUGAACUAAAUCAUAAAAUUUAGGUUAAUUGUUCUAUGGACACUUUGAGUUGCCAUUCAUAUGGAAACAAUUGCAAAAAAUAUUAUAAUAAGACAGAGUUUUCCUAUAUUUACAAAAUAGUAGGGAUGUGAUUUGGGGUUUCGGAUUUCUAGGAGAGGUCUCUAUGCUCAGUGGCCUUAGAAGGAGUAGGGUUGUGCGGUGGUGGCAGUUUGAGGGGUCGCGGGUGAGGCAGUAGGGUGAAGAAAUCUUCAUCUUCUUCCUUCAGUCAUUAGAGAAGAGUGGGGAAGGAGUGGCGAAGAUGGGCAAUAGCAUCACUAGCGCCGCUGCCUAGCGGUGGGCGAGACUGACGAGGGUGGAUGGAGAUAGGGCCAUAGGUAAUGAGUGGGAGUAGAAGAUGAGCAUUGUUAUUGUUUUAAGCGGCGAUGUAAACUACGACCACUUGUAGCUUGAGAUUGACUUUAGUUAUAUAGAUUGGAUGAAUAUUCAAUGUCCUUUCAACUCAAGAAAUGUUUCUUUAGGAAAAAAAAAUAAAAAUCUCACUUUUCAAGAAGGCAACAAAUCCCAAAUCUAACUAGAUUUGUUAUUAAAAUAUGUUUUAUGAUUAGUCAAGUGCAUAUCAUAAUAUUAGUAAUUAUAUAGAUUUGAUGAAAUAAUUGCUUGGCUACUCGAGAAUUAAGUUUUUUUCUUUGGAAUGAUGGGAGUUUAUUUUUUGUUAAUAUUGGUUCUAAUUGUGGUUUUGGGUUAUGCAUUUUCUGUAGUAAAUAAUGUCUAUUAGCAAGAUGUUAAUGUUUGUAAGAAUUCUAAAAUCGUAAUAUAUAUAUUGACAGACAGAUCAAUCAUAUACCAACAAUGUUUACAAGUAAAGAUAGCUAUCGCGCUUACAUGACAAAGAAUGAUUAAUUUUUGGACAAAUUAGUAAAGAACUGUCGAAACUCUCAUUCGAGAUGGACUACCUAGAGGUAAGGACGUCGACAAGCUGUCUAGAAGCCGACGACGCCUUUUUGAUGAACAACAUCAUGAGAUAGAGGUUGGCUAAUAAGUCUAUGACACAAUCUUUGAUGAACAACAAUAUGUGAUAGGAAAAGUAGGACAAAAGAGAGAGAGAGAGUAAAUUAUUUUUUUUGUCUAUAGUAUGUUGGGUAUCUCGAUCAACCAAUUAACCAUGUAUCCGUAUUUUCUACGGGGCACAGGUAGUCUUAUUUAAAACUAAUAUGCGACAUCUCAAUCUGGUACCGGAACAUUCGGUUAUAGUGAUCGAAAGCUUUUUUUUUUUUAUAUUCCCAAGCCCUGCGUGAAUAUUAUCUGGGACGAUGGGGAUUUUUUUUUUUCACAGGAAAAAAAGAUGGGGAAAAUAGAUUUGCCCAAGGGAAUGGGCGCAGCGCGCACGCACCCGACGCCGCGACCGACCGGGCAAGGCUGACACUGCCAUUCGCCCCCCUGCUGCCUGCCACCGCCACUUCCUCGCGACGCCUCGCCAGUUGCCCAAGGCCUUGUUUAGUUCUGAAAAGUGAAAAGUUUUCGGCACUGUAGCACUUUCGUUUGUUUGUGAUAAAUAUUAUCCAAUCAUGAACUAACUAGCAUUAAAAGAUUCGUCUCG
rnacentral:lncRNA from 1 species